AAAGAACAAGUGAGAUGUUGUGAGAAUGGCAGAGUGAUAGCACAAAAGUGCAAGAGAGCUCAAGAACAUUUACUUGAAGGAUACCUUGGAAUUGAUUUGUAUAGACGGGGGUCACUACCUGCUGCCAAGGGACUCGGGUGUGCGGAUUGACCGUCUUUGGUAGCCUAUUAUACGUCCCGAAAGUCGUGGACGGGCGUUUUAUUCACAUAUCAUGCUCCGCACAUCUCGCCAUUGACAUUGAGGAAACCACUCGUGAUCGUAGCUUAGGUGUUGCCAGUUGGAAAAAGAAUUUGAAAUUCGAGGAGCUCUCCGUGUGCCUUUAUGACGAGCUCUAGUUGGUCGGUCUGCCAUCUCAGCUGUGGUCAAUUAUGAUGCAUAUCAGGACCAAAUAAUAGAGAAUCUCAUUUAUUGAUUACACUAUUGUAUUCUACGAUUCCCAAGUUCAUCUAACUUAUAUCAGCAAGUUUUUUACAAUUUGGGUUUAGUUCAGAUUUGUUGGUCGUAUCAGUAAAAGAAAAGUUUGAGUUUCUUGCUCCCGUGGAGCAGAAUGAGAUUUUAUGACUACAUUGGAAAACCUAUUUUUUGCUCUCUUUCUCCUUGCCUAAUGAACUGGAUUGCACCAUAAAGAGAUGGAACACAGGAACGAAUUUAACGAGGUGAUAUACGAGAGUUUGAUCUAUGGGUUACGAUUCUGGAUUAUUUAGUUCUCUUUCUUCUUCUUCUUAGUCCAUACUGUCUUUCGUUAGAUAGAUUCUUUUUAGUACAUAUUUUCGUAUGUUAAAUGGUGAGAAAGGUUUUAAAUUUUACAGAUAUUAUUAUAUUUUUAGCAUAGAUCAUUGUUCAUCCAUAAAAGAAGUUACUUUUAUUGGCUAGCAUAGGAAUUUGAAUUUAAGCAAUUAUUUGUUUAGAUGAACAAUAAAAAUAUUAUAUAAUGAAUUUUUGUUAUACAGUAACUUUUAUACUGAAAAGUUAAUCAUCAUUAGAGAGCACCCUUUUCUUAAACUCUUAUUAUUAACAUAAAUAACAUAUUGGGAAGAGCCAAAAUUGUUAAGGCAGCUAUGAUUAAAAUAAAAGAAAAUUUAAAAACAUAGUUCUUUAUUUGAUUAUUAUUUUACAUUCAAUCUCUAGCCUCAUAAUCAACAUCUUGUAUUUAGUCCUAAUUUAAAAUCUCGAGCUGGCUACCACUUGGAAUUAGUUUUGGUCAAAGAAUGAUUUACCUUCUCUCACCAUGUUAACCGUUGGAUCGAGCAAAACCACUUUGACACCUGUGCCAAGAGAUGGAAGAAAAAAAUUGAAAAACUUUAAUAUCUAUAUAAGAUGCGAUCCAAUAUUUAGACAUUGCGUGAAAACAAUACCCAUUCUCUAGCACCGUCGGGCUGUCAGCUGCAGGGGCAGAGCUCAGGGCAGCUUGGAGGGUAUUUUUUUUGCAAGACGGAGAUUAAAAGUAAAGCACAUCAUCCUGAAGGAGGACUCGGCCAUAGUAAUAGAUUGGAUAUGAGAGAAGGAGUAGAGGGGGAAUGUGAGCCCUCUACUCCAUGAUAUCAGGCAAACGAUAGAAGGAUGCAACGCUUUUCAGAUAGUACAUGCCUACCGAGAGGCGAACCGAGCUGCAGACUAAGUUGCUAUCUAUGCAGCUCAGCAUUUCGAAGAGAUUCUUUGGACUCAUCAGGAGGUCUUUUUUGCACCGUUCUUGAUUUGGUUGGCUACCCUAUUAGAGUAGGAUGAGCAGCCAUUGUGUAAAAUUAUAAACAAAAACAAAAAAAAAAACUCUUUGGAACUGCGGAUGUAUGGGUUGCUUAAAGAAUACUCGGAGAGGGUGGGACCACCGAAUGGAUUCCACCACAAUUUUGGUAAGUGGGACGACCGAAUGGAUUCCACCACAAUUUUGGAACAUACCAGUGGUCCAAGAAUCCAAUCACCGAACGGACCGCACAGGUUGACUGUCCCCACCACCAUUCACUGCAGGCGGACCAAUCACGAGCCAAGGAACAGCAACUGGUUACAAUCCAUCGCAUAACAAAUGGUUGGAUCUUUUUCGCAUUGCGACACCCUGUCGCUGUGCCACCAAACAGGGCCCUCUCCUUUCUCGCCCCCAUUAGGGACCUGCUUGUCAUUAACUCAAAGCUCGGGGGCUCCGGACGGCAAAUAUUCUCUCAGUGCCGGCAACUUGACCUGGCUGGCAUUUGUUCUGCCGCGAUCUAUGUUGUGAUCGCUGUCGGAUCGCUCCUCCUCCGGCCAGGAGCUGACCUCUUUCCGGUGACCGAUUCGUAACAGCCACCAAGGACAAGCUAUGAAUUAUUAUAACAGGCCAAGUAAAAAUUUUCCUGUGGAAUCUAAAUAUUUUUAUUUUUUAGAAAAAGAAAUGAUUAUUCACUUGAGUUUAGGGUUGCAAAUAAAGUAGUAAAUUGUUCUCAAAUAGCUUCUUGAUCUUGAAGCUUGAUUAAUUUGCUGUGAAUUUUCAAGAGAAUCAAUUGGUGAUACACCUGAGUAUAGGUUUAAGAGGCAUGUUAAGAAUAUAAUAUAACCAUAACUUUUUUUUAUGUUAUUUAAUUUAAGUAAGCUUUCGUCGCCUAUUUAAUUUCCCGGCGGGACGAGCCUUGUUAUUUCAAAAAGAAAAAGACUACAGGUGCUUGAAGAGCUUGCUAGAAGGAUGAUGGUGAUAACGUUGUGACAAAAAGCAUUUGAAGAAGUAAUCGGAUGAUUAAUUUCAUAUAUAUGCCAUGCUAGAAAUACUCAAUGCCACAUGAAUUUUAAUUUCCAUGCUCUUCGUUUGGCGGAGAGUUCUCUUCUCCCAGUUCCUUUUAUACAUUAUUAAAGUUCUCCAUUGUUUUUUUUUAAAAAAACUACUAAUUCCCAAAGACUGCAACCUCCAUCGAAUAAUAUAAACCACAAUCUUUGGAGUUAGCCCUCUUAAUCUGAUCUCAUCCCUCCUAACUCCCAUGUAUAAAUAAUUCUCAAUUGUGUGUGUGUGUGUGUGUGAGAGAGAGAGAGAGAGAGAGAGAGGANNNNNNNNNNNNNNNNNNNNGUGUGUGUGUGUGUGUGUGUGUGUGAGAGAGAGAGAGAGAGAGGAGGAGAGAGUUUAGGUGGACAAAAAAAUAGGCUGCAAACAUGGCAGUGGCUAUGGAAGAAGCAGCAGAUCUCGAGAUCUCCGGCUGCAACUCCAACUCCACCAUCGACGACAAUGGCUGCGCAUGGACUGACUGGUCCCCGGUCAUGGACUGGGGCCCCCUCUCCGCCGACGAUGACUUCCGAGGCCUCAUUGAGUCCAUGAUGUGCGACGACCCCACCGGCCUCGCUCCCACAUCCUUUGAUCCAUACUGGAAUUCGAACCCGAGCAGCACCACCACCAGCGUUGGCACCUCGCCGGUGCAGGAGCCCAGGAACGGCGGCGACGAUAACGAGAAGGGGCUUCGGCUUGUGCACCUACUGAUGGCGGCGGCGGAGGCCCUCGCGGGAUGCCACGAGAGCCGGGAACUGGCUCGGGUGAUAUUGGUUCGGCUCAAGGAGUUGGUGUCGCCGGCCGGCGCCACCUGUGGCGAAGGAGGGACUACCAUGGAGCGGCUCGCCGCGCACUUCACCGACGCCCUUCAGGGCCUGCUCGACGGCUCCUCCGCCGCAGUCGGCGGUCAGCCAGCGUCGCACCGCGACGACCUCCCGUGCGACGUUCUGGCCGCAUUCCAGCUGCUCCAGGACAUGUCCCCCUACGUGAAAUUCGGCCACUUCACCGCCAACCAGGCGAUCCUGGAGGCGGUGGCGGUCGACCGGCGGGUCCACAUCGUUGACUACGACAUCGCCGAGGGCGUCCAGUGGGCGUCGCUGAUGCAGGCGCUCGUCUCCCGCAAGGACGGGCCACCGCCGCCGCACAUGCGGAUCACCGCCGUCACGCGGGGCGGCGGCGGGGCGCGGGCUGUGCAGGAGACGGGGCGGCGGCUGGCGGCAUUCGCGGCAUCUCUCGGGCUGCCCUUCACAUUCGGGCAGUGCCGGCUGGACGCCGACGAGCGGUUCCGGCCGGGAGGGGUGAAGGUGGUGAAGGGCGAAGCCGUUGUCGCGAACUGCGUGCUGCAGCCGCUGAAUGCGGCGGGGACACGGCGGGGGCCGGGGUCGGUGGCGUCGUUCCUAUCAGGGGCGGCAACGCUGGGGGCGAGGGUGGUGGCGCUGGUGGAGGAGGAGGAGCAGGAGGAGGAGGAGGGGGAGGGCGACUUUGUAGGGAGAUUCAUGGGGGAGCUGCACCGGUACUCGGCGUUGUGGGACUCACUGGAAGCCGGGUUCCCGAUCCAAGGCCGGGCGAGGGGGCUGGUCGAGAGGGUGAUACUGGGGCCGAGGAUCGCCGGAGCCGUGGGAAGGGCUUAUAGGGGUUGUGGAGAAGGUGGGUGGGGGGAGUGGAUGGCAGGGAGGGGAUUCGGAAGAGUUGGUAUCAGUUGUUUCAACCACUGCCAGGCCAGGCUGCUGCUGGGGCUCUUCAAUGACGGGUACCGGGUGGAGGAGGACGGGCCUAACAAGCUGGUGCUGGCUUGGAAGUCUCAGAGGCUCACCUCAGCCUCCAUUUGGUCUCCUCCUCCUCCACCUCCUGCUCCUGCUGAUCUACUUCCUGUCGGUGCAGUUAGCAACAGCAUGGAGGAUUCUUAUCUCUUGCUGGAUUGAUUCCUUCUCCACCUUCCUUUCUUUCGAUUGGUUUUCUUCUGGUGCAAUGGAUUGUAUCCUCUCUCUUUCCUUUCUGGUCACUGUUUCAUUGUAGCAGCGAUCGGUAUUCUUGUUUAUGUUUGAUGUCAACAACUUUUGUCAAGUGCCAAGUGAUGAUGGAUAGCUGAAGGGAAGAAUAAAGGACGAGGUAUGAUUCAUCAUUCAGAAAGCUAUCUGACUGGGGAGAAUAGAGCGCAGCAUACUACUUGAAAAGAAUUAGGAAGGGAAAGGAUUCAAUUAUAGUGCUCUUUUGCUUCAGCAAUUUACUCUUUCAGAUGCCGAAAUCUAGUUGAAAGGAUUCAAUUAUAUCAAUCCAAAUAGUUGAUGUCUAUAUUGUUCAUAUGUGUUUAUGCGCUGUAUAUGCACCUAACUUUACUGCGAAGUUCUAGAGUCUCUCCUAUUUGGGGGACCACGAAGAGUGGCGCGUCAUUCCAUGGCGAAGCUAUAGAAUUACGAAAGGCACGCCAACAACUUGUUCGUUGUCUCUUCCUGGGUAUCGUCCAUGAGAACUUUUCUUUGUGUGUAUUUUAAUCUGGAUCCACGAGGACGCCAUUAGCGGAUGCUUUUCAUGGCAAAAACUUUGUGCUCGCAGAUGUUCGGUAGCUAAAAAAACUGUUAUGAUGAUUUAAGAACCCUUUUGUUGAGAAUAUUUAGAGAAUAUUGCGGUAUCUUCUCCUUUCAUGAUCUUAAUCUGAUGAGUAUAUAACAUGGAGUGGCAUAAGAUAUUUUGGUGUCAGCAGCGGCUAUGAAAAGGAAAGAAUACAAUUUUUAUUUCUUUCCUCCCUAUUCUUUCGUUCUUACCUUUAAAUAUAUGGCAUAGAGUCAUUUGCACUCAAUGGCAAUUAAAUAUAUAUGUCUAUGAGCUGUUUGAUUUGCAUACUUAUAUAAUAUAUAUCCGAUCCAUAAGUAUGAGCUAAAUAUUGUAUGUAUCUAUGCGCAAUAGUUCACAACAGCAAAUGCAAACGCUUUCUUUUAAAUAUUUUAUAAUUUAAAAAAAUAUAGGACUUGCCGCAUUGACUUUUCGAGUAUCAUUGUUUUAUCAUCUCUUCUUUUCACCAUUCAUCAAGGUGAGGUGAUGAAAAGGGACUCCUUUCCCCACCCUUGGUUUUUGAAAGGCUUUAUGUUAGUUACAUUUUCACAGUAAUUCUAAGUUGAUAAGUUGUUAUGGCUUAAGAAUAGACAAGCAAACGAUUAGGUGCUUUCUAGACAGCAAAAAUCUCUCGGUAAUAUUUCAAGAAAUAUGCUUAUGUUUUUCCCUUCUAAUUCUGUAACCAUAUCGUAUUUUUGUAAAUUUUUGGAGCCGUAAAUGAUAUAUUUUUUCUUUGUAAAGAAUGACAUUUUUUUAUUAGGAGAAAAGUAACAUUUCUUUGACAAUUUUUCAUGGUUUUAAACUACUUCUAUCACAUUUGUUUUCAGGUUCCUCUAUUGCAUCUAAUAUAUAUAGUGGCUAAAUAGCAUACAUGGCCAUUAAAUAUAUACUAUGAUUAUUAUUAUGAAUUAAUAAUAAUAUAUAGUGAUCAUGAAAGUUGUUAUUUAAUAAUAAUAAUAUUUUAUUAGCUUUCAUAAUUACGUAUACAAUUCUAAUGUGAAAGAUAGUAUAAUUUGUGGUGAGUUUUCAAACAACACUAUUAUUAUUAUUAUCUGCCAUGACACAAUAAUGAAAAAAUAUCAAAAAUAGUUUUUGGAAUUUCUAACCAGGUAACGAUUCAUGAUAAUCAUAUAAUUGAUAACAACUCGGGCUCAAGCUUUAAUAUAUAUUUUAUGUUAUCAAAACCAUGCAAUUUUUCUCUCAAUAAACUCGCAGUUAUAAACUCUGUUCGUUCACUAGGAAUGGGUUUUCCGUGCAUGGCAUGCACCAAUUCAUGCCUCAUUUCCAGGCAUAGAGAAAUUCAAGGUUGGCUGCUAAAGGCCAGAAUGUGGCUUUGGGGAUGCAAAUGGGCAGGGCCUGGUGAGAUUAGGAUAUCAAAAGCUUUGUUAGAAAAGUUAUCUGGGUCAUGGUCCAGUCCAUUUGCAUUCCUUCAUGGCUUAAUAUUUGCAAGGAAGUGUAGAAAUUCUGGCUCCAUUUUUCUCAUCAAAGACAGAAGGAGAACUGCUACAAAAGUUUAUGGGGAUCACAAAAAGAAUAAUAAAAAUGACAAUCUUAUGUUUGCACGAGAAAAAAAAAGAAAUAUGUGUCAGUUUUUCCUGAUUUUUGGGUGGCUUAUCAGCUAGUUAUAUUCACAUUUUUUUUGGCUUAUCCAAAUUUUGGUUUCCAUGCAUGGCUAUGAGCUAUACACAAAUUGGAAAGCAAAAGUUUUUUCCAUAACAGUAUGUUACUUCUUGUAUGUCAGCUUGCUUCUCGGUCGAAUAUUACAUGCAAAUCUCAUCUGAGUUCAGGUAAUCAAACCAAUUAAAAUUCUUUCUCGAUUGUUUUACAAAUGUGAGAAGCAAAGGGUUUAUAGCAGACUUUCUUGGACUUUGUGUGCAUUUCUUUCAUCCAAAGGUUUCAAUGUUUAAAAGAUAACUUUUUACAUAAAUUAUUCAUCGGAUAAGGAUAAAGCCUUUUAAUUUGCUUCCAAUGUACAUGCUUCAAGUCUUAUAAAAAAGACUUAGGAUUGAAUUUAUUUAUUUCCUUGCAGCCUUAGCGAGUUACAUCCAAUUUGAUCUAGUAUUUACUUUUAUCUUCCAAUUAGCUCAUGUCUUCCCAGCAUUACGUUUAAAGAUCACACUCAUUUUUUGUGAUCAAUAUCGUAUGUAUUUAGGUCUUUUCUACAAUACUUAUUGAAAUGGUGUUGGCUUGUUGAUUUCUUAUGCAUUUACCGCUUAAUUUUGAGGAAGAGGAUAACCAUGAAUGUAAUUCUUCAUAUACAAUCAUAUUGCAUGCAAAUCUAAAAUAAAAUCAAAUCAGAUAUUUGAUUAUCAAUGGGAGAUCGAUUUAUGCAAAAGAUCAAUUCACCAAUGCAUAAAAUUAAUCCAUAAAUCUAGAUAAAAUAAUAAUUAUUUAUGAAGGAUUCUAAUCCUAGCAUGGAGGCUCUGAUACUAAUUGUGACAACAUAAAUAAUAACAUGCUAAGAUUUAGAAUCACAGCAAUAGUGUAUUCAAGUUUGAGAGAUAUACCUGCAGAAGACCUAUUGAAUACGAUUUUUCAAUCAUCUGGAAUAAUAGCAGCUGGAUCUUUCCUUCAUUAUUCCUCACAAAAAAUAGCCGUCAAUGGGGCAAGCUAUCAACCAUAUGGAGAGGAGAGGGGGACUUAGCCUUUAUAUAGGAAAUAUAAGGGAGUCUUCUCAUUAAAUUAAAGGCUCCAAAAUCCUAAUUGGGUUUUCUGGCCUACAUACCAAAAUUACUACAAUAAAUAGGACUCAAUCUUAUACAUUCAAGGUGCACCAAAAUUCAUAAAACAAAAUGAUCGCACAUUAUAUUGGGCUUAACCAUAGUACCAUUCUAACCCAUACGUCUAACCCGUCUUAUAAAACAAAAAUACACAAUCAGUGUAAGCCCAUAUUUUGAAAUUAUUCUAACAAUUGAAAUAAUGCUAAGGCGACUUAAAAAAAUCACUGGCCUGGUUUGUUGUAUUGUCAUUGCUCCCCUUGAAUUGCCAUUGUGAAGUAUAAUGAAGCAAAGUGAAUGAUGCAAGAUACAUGAGUGAUUUUUCUGAGUUAUCAUAGCAUUGCUCUAUAGAAAUAAUGAAUGACUGAACAAUGGGCAUUAUUUGUUUUCGAAGAAAACCUAUUAUUGAAUUGCUUGUGGAGAUAUUAUUUUCAUCACCACCUUAUGCCGCGGCGUGCAGAGAUGAAUGCAAGACCUAUACAACAGAUUUAACAAUAGCCAUGUUGGCUUCUAUGAACCUCGAAAGUUUCAAUCUUGAUCCAACCUAUGUUAUUUGAAAGUAGGUGCGUAUAGAGGACAGUGUGGCCAUAGCUCACCACAGCAGCUGCUGAUCUGUUGGUUUGAAGUGGCAGGAGAUCAAGAGAUCAAAUUGUGGACAAUGACUCUUCAGAUCAUUUGUAUAUUUUAUCUUGUAAUUUUUAUUCAUUCAACAAUGAAAGAAAUAUUCUACUCCUUACUCCAUGUAGAUUGAAAAUAUAAUGAAUGUAAUAUUUGAUGCUUCUGCUUGAUUAAAACCAUGUUUUGUACUCUCGAUUAUGAUGCCAUUUCCAGGAACAUAGUGGCCAAUAUACAGAGAUUCGCAUGGUAAAGAAGGUCGAUACAGACCCAUAAGAAAAACAGAGCCUCUCAUCUCAAAGGUUAAUUCCACUCCACCAGAACCAAAAGCUGGGAGCAAACCAUCAUUUGGUACAGACCAAGAAGUAGGCUUGUUGAUGUGGUAGGUGGUGAUGUUUUCAUGGUGGAUGUCUCUUUCUGGCUUCCAUAUAUUGAGCCUGGUGCAGUAUCAGAGGGAACUUUGGUUUCUCUGGAGACCACUUCUCAAAGUAAUUGUCCAGAGAAAGUCCUUUCAUCACGUACGCCAAGGGAAAAAAACAAAAGAAUGAAAGGAGGAAGAAGAAGAAGAAGAAGAAAGAACUUUUUCUUUUUCUAAAGUUACAUGUUCCAAUUAUCUAAUUCGCUCUUACAUCACCUGCCUGAUAUCAAGUCAAAUUCCUCUCCUUUGAAACAGCUGAAAGCUGCCGAAACACAUGAAAAUAGCCUCCUCCGACAACGAGAUACACUUGCUUCACAUGAGUCACGAACCGAUGCCUUCAAGUAUAUAGUCUGAAACAAAGGAAAGAAAGGAGAAAAAAAAAUCCUCUGUAAAGGUUUCUACUAAAAAAAAAUCAAAUAUGAUGGCUAAACACAUUUCAAAAGAAACCCAAGCAGCAGAGAAGACAUCGUAAGGAGUUUAUGGAUCACCAAACUGCUCAUUUGGUUCAUUUUUCUUUCAACAAUCUGAUGAGAACAAUAUUCUUAAGGGUAGGUGAUGGUGGAUCUCCAUCAAAAGAAGCACAAGAAGAACAGCUUAUCAUCUUGGUCGCAUAUAUGAUGAUGAUUUCGAGACACAUGCCACUGCUGAAGGCCACUUGCCGCUGAAUGUAACAGGGCGAAGAAAGCUUUUCUUGUGAAGGGUGUGGGAUGGACAUGAUGAGAAAAGAAAAGCACAAGGCAUCCUUCUGAGAUGUAGGUCCUUCUCAACAUCACCAAACCUGACAACAGCUUAGCGACAAGUCCUAAUCACCUUUGAGAUCUCCAUAUCAAAAUAAUUUUAGGCAUCUCUUUGGAGGUCAAAAAGGUCGCGCGCCGUCUUAUGGAAUCACGUCACCACCCAUUUACUAUUGUAACACUCGUGGAAAGUUGCAGCUGGGAGUGGUUGGAUCUGAUUUGAACUGAUACAAAGAAAUGUAGGAGUGGUGUAUGUUAUUUAAGGUGGAAAACCUUCAAAGAGGACUUUGAAUUACCAAGUGGUUGGUAGUGUAAUAAUUUGAAGAGGUUCGGUUACUUGGAAUAUGGAUUUGAAGCUUAUAUUCCCAUUCGUGCUAAGGGUUUUAUAUUUAUGCCGGCAUUUUAAAAUAAUCCCCUGCAUUUGAAAACAGCUCAAUGGUCAUAUUAAGUUUUACCUCCCAUCAAAUGAAUUGUGACUUUGUCCUAAUUAUCACACGCCUCUGCUCAGCAUUCAAAGAUUCCAAGUUCGACUAAGUCUAUAAGUUUUCUUAUUGUAGCCGUGCUUCUUUUUUUCCCUGAGCCCUACUUUGAACAUAUUAUUGACAUUUUAAGUAUCUCCAUCUCAAGGUGAACUUCGAUGGUAGUGUGUCAGCAGGUAGAGACAAAGGAGGAAUGGAUUUUGUGAUCUGAGAUCACAACUCCAGAUUGAUUGAUGCAGUAAGGCGGUGCACUUGUAACAUGACAGUUAUAGGAGCGAAGCUUAGGGUAGCAUAGAAAAGUAUCACCUAUGCAAGAAGUGUUCUAGGAGCUGAUAGCAUCUUCCUAGAAGGUGAUUCUGCUAUAGUGAUCGAUUGGAUUCGAGAUGUAGAGCGAUAGAGCCAUUGUCACUCACUGUUUAAGGAUAUUCAAAGGUUAGUGAGAGACCGUAACUCGUUUCAAGCUGCUUAUAUGUAUCGAGAGGCAAGCAUGGCAGCAGACUAGGUCGCCUCCUUCGCUGCUUAUCAUUCUGGAAAGGUUCUUUAGACAUGGUCUGAUACCACCUUCCAUCUUUAUGUCGUUUCAUUUUUUUUGACUCUACUGAUUAUACUCAUGCUAGACUGAUGUGAACAAUCGUUAUACCAAAAAAAAGUAUCUGUUUCAGAUACUAGUUAUUAGCUAACCGUAAAAUUUAAUAUUUAUUGAAGUACAUGGCAUGCUAAUUUCGAUAAUACCUAGACACAAAAUGCAACCAUGGUAUGAUAUCCAUGGUUUGAUCAUAGAUUGAAAUUAAAACUAGCUCGAUCAUAUACGACGGUAAAACAAAGGUUUUAAAUACUAUUAUCUACAAUGUGAUUUUUCCAUUUCACAAGUCUUGGUAGUAAUUUAAUCCUGAUUUGUUUAUCUUAGUGAAUAAAUUGGUUACUUAGAAGAGAAUACCAAAGGAACCUGGUACCUUGGAUUCUAAUAAACUUCAUUGAGCAUGGAACAGAAGUGUGUGGCUAAGCACUUUUUGCACCCAGUGCUGCGCAAGUGGGACUUUAUAAAUGAACUCGCAUAAUUUAUCCAACUUGCAGCACUCUUUCUUCACCUAAUCUAUCUCACUCUUUUCUAUCAUGGAGACACCCAAAAUGCUGCAUAUGGUAAGUAAAUAUUUGUCCAAAAUCUUUCCAUACCACCUCCCCAUAAGUGUUAAAAUCACCCCUUAUCCUAAAAGCUUAAGCUUACAGGAGAGGUAGAUUUAUUUAUAUAUUUUAUAUUUUCUUACACUCAUCCUCACAUGUGGGCCAAACUUUGCUUUAAUGGGUGAGCCCAACAUGUGAAAUUUUUAUUAAUGAGGUUAAAGAAUGCGGAGACAUGAUUUGAACUCAGAAUACCAUGUUGAAAUUACCACUUAUCCUAUAGAAUGAGGUAGAUUUAUUUAUAUAUUUUAUAUAUUCUUCCAAUAAGUAUAUUGCAGUUAUUAAAAUCUAUGUAUCAAUAAAUAAUACAAAUACUCGCUUUGCUACAACGAAAUCCAGUGAUAAUUAUCUCCUUAUUGGUUUUAUCUCGAUCUCGUGAUCCAAAUAAUGGAAUAAGAAAGCCGCCAUUGACUAUCUAACAAUCAUAAUCUAAGGAGACGUUAUGAGCUGGUACAAGUUACAACUGGUUCUUAAUUGGUUUACAAAUAAAAAAAACAAAUCUUAUCUAUUGGCAUUAAGAUAUUGUUUGAUCUUAACAAAUAUUAUGAGCUGCAUGAGGGCUUGUCUUGGUAAAAUAAUAGCAUUAUGGGCAACUAAUAAUGGAACUAUAUUAUUUUGUUUCCAACUAAUAGUACUCCACAGUUCACUGCAGCAAAAUGGCCAUUGCAACACCAUAAAUCUGUACCAAAAAGCAUCUCUCCCCCUUGCCUCUGUGAUGGCCGCUUUUCAACUUAGACAGGCAUCUCUCCUGAAAGUAUCAUCAAAUGCUUUUGGCACCCCCCUUCUUCUUUUCUUUUUUUUUUUGUUUAUCAUGCGGAAAGCUUUUUUCUUUUGCUUCAUAAGUCGUAGAAAGACUAUCUGAGCAAGACAAAUCUCCCUGAGAAGAUUGUUUACCUUGAAACUCUGUAUGCAAGCCGCAUUUAGUAUGUCAGCAAACAGUUUCCAAGACAAAAUCCUGGUAUUUAAAUCUAAUGAAAGGUCUUGAAGAGUAGUUUAAUUGUGAGGUCCCACCUGUCGACAAACUAUGCCACCCAUGAGUGGAUGCCAAGGGUGGACCUCUGCCCGGAAACAAAGGUAGCCUACUCUCUGAAGGCUUCUUUUCCAAGCAAACUUGAAGUGCUAAGAACAUUCAAACAUAAUUAAUUAGCAGAGCAUCCAUCCCAUGGACCACCUCACUGAUCAAAUUUUUAUCUUUCUGCCCAACAACCUGCCCCUAAUGAUAAGGCCAGUCCUGCAGACCAGAAUGGCCUCUGAGACCCAGCAGAAUAGUUGGUGUCUCUCGAUGGACCUACUCCAAACAAAGGCCUCAGAGACUUUAAUCAGAUGGCAAAUUUGGAUAGACGCAGUCUACUGGAAUCAUGAACAAAAUUUUUGGGCAGGAACAUUGAAUCUAAUGCCGCAGAUAUUUGAUGAAAACACCAUGCAUGGAAACAAAGACUUUAAAUAAGGGGUGUGGGAAGGACAUGUGAUGAGAUAAGAUAAACAGAGAACAACAACCAAAUGAGUACUCUUCAGACAUGUAGUUCUUUCCUAGAUCGGCGAAACCCGACAACAUGUUUGCGACAAGGCUGAGUCACAAUGAAUAAUCAGCAGGUCAAUCAUACAUGCACCAGAAUUUUCAAAUCUGGAUGCUUCUAAACACACCUAAAAUCCAAGGCAACCCCCACUAGGGGUCAAAAAUAUCACAAAACAUCUUUAGGAGAACGAAUCACUAUUCGAUCGUUCUCCUAUAACAUAUUUAGGAGAUUGAAGGAGAUUGAGGGAGUGGUUGGAGCUGAUUGGAACUGAUACAAGGAGAUGCAACAGGAGCAUAAAGAUAUUCUAUUCCCUUUCAGAUCCAAGUUUCGAGAUGGUUUGGAUUUCAUACAAAGAUUGGAAAAAGAAUAUGGCUCAGAAAAGGCUAAAGGUAUAGGUGAAGCAAUAUAAAAGUUCCUAAAACAAGUGAGAAUCCACUUGAUGCUCCAAAAAGCUUACUGUUUCCCAUGUGCAGAACCAAAGGUAAUCACUAUCAAGGAUCACAGCACAUGAGCUCCCCACCAUCACUACUCUAAUUUGAUUUUUGACUGCAACAGCACAAGUUGUUGAAAACAAGAGAGAGUGAACAAACAAAGCAGCUCUGAGAGACUCAUAUUCAAAUCAUAUGUACAUUUUACAGUCAUGGGAGGGAUGUGGGUCUGUAAGACCAGACCCCAAGCAUCUGCUGUCAGUUUCUUCUCUCUCAAUCUUCCUUCUUUCACUCAGAUCGGGCAGGUAUUUGCCUGCCCGAUCGGUAACUCUCCGACAACCUUAUAAACUAGUAACUAAAACAUACAAAUUAAAAAAGGCGCCUGACCUUACACAUCUGGGUCACAAAAUUUUCCAUCCAUAUGGUUCUGGACAGCUUUGAUUGCAGCAACCCUAGCAGCAGUGGCUGCUCUAUUUGCAGCAGCGACUGCCUUAUUUACUUGGUCGUCUACCCGGGGAAGGAGAUUAGCAUUCUCUGCAGCCUUUCUUGCAGCCUAGUGGAAAGUAAAUUUUUUAAGAGUUAGAAUGCCGACUGAAGGUAGAGUUGAAUGGAUGCAGUCAUGUAAAUAAGAAUACCUGAAUAGCUCGUUGCACUGAAAGAUCUGAUGGGAGGAGUGGGGUCUUUAAAACACCACAGUCCCACUCCCCUGAUCUCAUCUCACCAUUUCGGAAUGUGUAUGUUCCAAAACCUUGUCUCCGGCCUUCAUGCCAUGAGCCCUCAUAGCAGUGGCCAUUAGCAAAGCAAUAGACUCCAAAACCAUGCAUUUUGUCUCCGAAGUACUCACCACUGUACCUAUCACCAUUCCUACAUCAAACCAAGUUUGAUCAUUUUCCAUCCACACUAACACAGGAUAUACCUUUAAAGUUGAAAAUCGAGAUUAGCAUCGAAAGUACAAUAAGCGAGCACUAGAACUUUCUGCCAAACUCGGUAUGAGAAAGUAAAAGAUAGCUUUAAAAAUCUCAGAUGUAAAGCAGAGCAAGAAAAGGGAUGUCAUUAAGAAAGUAUUAACUAAUCUGUACACUUCAAUAAUUGGUGUUCAGUUCACACAUAUCAUAAGUGAAACAAAAAAGGAACCAAAAUUGUGGGAAAGCAUAAGAAGCGAUUUAAAAUUCACAAUUUCAUUUAAAGAAAACAGUGAAUAUUGUGCACAAACUAAAGCAAGAUGAAAAAUGGACUAAGAAAAUCUUGUUGGAAACUCACAGGGUCAUCAAUGAAGGCCAAGUCUAUGAGUUUUUCUUCUUCCCCUUUUUUUUUCUGAGAAGAUAUAAGAAUUAGCAUCUCAUCCCAACACAAAAAAAAUUUCGAACUAUCUGAUGAUUCCAUUAAACCUCCCAAUCCAUUCUAGCUUGCAAAUGGUUCAAAUAAAAAAUCUCAAGCUCCAUCAAGAAAAUUUAAGAUCCAAAUCAGAAUCAGGGAAGGGACUAUUCCAACAGAACUAAGUCUCCAAUAAGAAAAUAUAGCAAUACCAUACAAAACUCCCUCCGAAAAGCCACAAACCGAGAACAAUUAGACCCAAAUAAUGAUUGACCCCAUGAACAAAAGAUGCGGGCAUCCUCUCCAAAAAGAAAAGGAGAAAAUCAAAGCAGAACCCAGAUCCCAUCUGAUCAGUGUUUCGAUCCCAAACAAGCCAAUCACUAAUCAUUAAUCCAGCACAAAAUUCUAUUGUUCCAUCGAUGUGAAUCAACACCUAGCGGGAUCAGCAAAACCAGAACUCGAUCAUUCCAAGCACUAACAUGUACACAACUAAUCCAUGAAACAAGGUGCAAGUUUUACGAUCUCAUAAAGUGAUCCAAUACAUCAAAACCCACGAGAAAAGUUAAAAGACGCAUCAAAAUCUAUAAAUCAGUGUGCAAUUGUUACCUGAAACUGUAGCAGCCAAGCCCAUGCUUAACUCCACACUUGAAUUGUCCCGCAUAGCAGCUACCAUCGGAGCAAGUCUGAACUCCACUCCCAUGGCUCUGCCCACCGAGCCACUCCCCGGCAUAGCCAUCGCCAUUAUAGAACCGAUACGUCCCGAAACCAUGCCGCAGUCCCUGACGGUACUGUCCCCUGUAUCGACUCCCCCUCGCCCAGCUCUCGACCCCAUACCCGUCAUACUUCCCAUCAACCCAAUCCCCCUCAUACCCCCCCUUCCCGAAAAACCUAUACACCCCGCUCCCAUUACACUUCCCCUGGUGGAACUCCCCCUCAAACACAUCCCCAUUGCCGUAAAACUCCACUCGUUCCCUCACUAUCCUCCCAAUCCUCCCCCUCCCCUUCCUCAAAAUCCUAUCUUCAUCGCCGAUAAACCACUGGACCGAGCCACUCCGCCUAGCGGCGCGGCCAAAGCUGAAAACUUUCCACAAGAGGGCGAUCACGGAUGCGACGGCGACAGCGGCCGAGGCGAGGAAGAGGUUCUCGGAGGGAAAAAAAUCUUUAAUUAAGAAGAUGAGGAGGAGAAGGAGAAGCAACGGGAGAGAGAGGAGGAAGGGGGUGAAGGAAGGGGAGGAGCGGGCGGCGUGGCGCGGUCGGGUGGGCUUCUCGUCGUCCGGGGCCUCUUCCGCCAAGGUUGAGAGGCUGUGGGGAUAGGAGCGGAGGGUGGGGGAGCGGAGGAGAGAGGCAGUCCGAGCUAGCUUGGACCUCGGGCUCUUUUGGCCUUCCAUGGCUUCUCCUCUCUUCUCUCCCACCACCCUUAGCUUCUCCUCUCUCUAAGAGGAGGAGUCAUGAGAUAAAGGAGAAGAGAGGUAGAGAAGGUAAAGGGGGGCGAAAGAGAGAGAAGGGAGGACAAAUUACUUGGGGAAGGGGAGGGGAAGAGAAUUUUAUAACGGAGAUCACACGGUAGAGGGAGCGUCCCUCAACGGGCGGAUUUUCUUUGGACCAGGCUUGGAAGCUUUGAGCUCGAGAAAGGGACUGUCGACUUCGAAUCAGACGGUCGGCAGGCGGUCGUUGGUCGGUUUUUUUUUUUCUGUGGGUAGUGGGAGCGGUGUUUUGGUUUGCAUUGGAGUCAUCGUCCUCGCGUUUGGGAAUUUUGGAUGGAUGGAUGGAUGGAUGAUGGGAGGAUUUUCUGGCCGUUGGAUCGGGUUGGAAUUUAGAUGCAGUUUCAUCGGAUCUGAAACGGGGGCCAUCACGUGCAAGAUGCGUGGCUUUUCUGAAUGUGCGCAUAGAGAAACUAUGCGAUCUCAGAUCUGCUAUCAUGUUUGGAAUUGACUGAGAAUGCUGGGUCUUGCCCCAAUCUUCACUCAUGUUGUAACCAAAUCGUGCUCAGGCUAACCCAUUUCAUCUUAAAUAAAGUUGAUCCGCUUGCAAAUAUCUAGAUUAAGAGGUCCGGUAAAAACCCGAAACUCCUUAAGUAUUUCAACUAAUUCCUACCAGUAAAUCUUAAUAUUGUAGGUUAACAUAUUCUUUUAUAUGCAUCGGUAAUUAAAAACUUAAUAUGUAUGUGAUACUAAUUCUUGAUAGUUUUUUCUUAUGGAAUGUUUAUAGGCAUUGGAAGGAGUGGAAUUCAAGAACAUUUACAUUUGAAGUUAGGGUAGAACUCAUAUAAUUAGAGGAAAAUUAAUUUUCUUCCCCCUUCCAAGCUAGUGAAGUUAGGUGAUCUCUAAAAAAAAAAUUCUAAUUUUUUUUCUCUUUCACUUUUACUGCGUUUCGUGUGUCUAUUAUUGAUUUAAUGAAAUCACGGGGGAUACCUUUCUCAUCUAUUUCUCGAAAAAUAUAAUAUGAAAGAUAAAUUCUCAUCUACUAAGAACAAGUAAAAUAUCAUGUAGUAUAAUAAAUAGUUAUUUAUUUUUAUUUUGAGCCACCGAAGCGAUGAAAACAAAAGCCGUUUAUCCCGUAUAGAACACUUUAUGCGGUUGCUCGGAAAAGAGAAAUGUCCGGAUAUCGGCGGGGUUAGGCGAUCCUGGCCGUACGGACGGGCGGUACGAUGCGGAAAACGUUGGGGGAGAUGGGGUAAUGAUGGCCGUUGGAUUGGGUGGCUAGCCCAAGGUUGGACGAGGGGAUGGGACGUGGGUUCCGAAGCUCACGUGGCAGAGACUGGGGGUUGGAGGCACGUGGGAGAGAGGACGGUCGAUUUUAAGUGGAGCCAAACCCAAGAUGUGGAUUUGGUCUAAACACUGGUAUUGAAUCCACAAAAAGCGGUAUUCAAAAGAGAGCAGUUGGUUGGUACCAGCACGAGGGAUGUGGAAAAGCUCGCUUGGUGUUUGGAAGCAAUAAAGUUUUAUAGUGCAUGUGGAGGAGGGUCAUUAACACAGCUAGAUAUGGGCAUCGAGCCGUGCCUGAGCCCGCCGGGCUACAGGCUAAACGGGCCGUGCCUGGCCCGGCCUGUUACUAAACGGGCCGGGCCAGGCACGGCCCGCUUAGCCUAAAAGUUCAGCCCGGCCCGGCCCUAGGCCCGUGGGGUGGCGGGCCGUGCCGGGCCCUGGCACAAGACGGGCCAUGCCUGGCACGGCCCGUAUGGCAAAACAAAAAAGAUGUAGAAGUAGAGGCGGGCAUUGGGUCGGGCCGCCCAUGGUCCGGCACAGCCCGGCACGAAGCGGGCCGUGCCGGGCUCGGCCCAUGGGCCAAGAAUUCUAAACCCAGCCCGACCCCCUUUUAUGGGCCGUGCUGGGCCAUGGGCGGCCCGGCCCAAUGCCCACCUCUAAACACAGCCACCGAGCCUCCUUCACAACCAGUAUCCUUUGCGGUGCACCGCACAAUGCUGUGCAACCCUCCAUGAUCUCCAUAAAAAUGAGCACCCUAGUGCAUGCUCGUAAAUCGUAAACUAUCUUAUUAAAUGACUAUCCAUCUUCUGAUGGCAGUCGUCAAGAGCUGCACAAUAUUUUAUGCUGCAGUGCAGUGCGGCAGCUAUCCAGCCUGCACACCGCAAAGCAUCCCUUAGGCUUCUGUUUGCUUAACGAAUCUAUGAUAAUUUGGCUCUAAUUUUUAUCUCCAACAAGUUUUAAUGCCUCAUAGAUCAUCCAACUCCGAACCCAGAGUAUAAUAGGUGCCGCAUCCUACAUGAUGGACUAUAUAAGCAUAUAAGACUACAAAUCAUAUUGAAAUCUCAAAGCAAUAAUAAUUUUUUGAUUCUUGAAAAUUUAUUUAAUCAUGACCUGAAACAAAAUUUUCUCAUAAUCAAUUACUCCAAAGAGACAUAAGUCAAAAUAUUUAUUUCAAAUAAAAUGUUUUAACUAUACAAGUCUAAAUAGUCUAAACUAGAACUCUAAUGAUUGUGAACAUCUCCAGAAAAUUUAGCGCACUCUCUUAAGUUCCGAACAAUCAUAAUUUAGGAUAUGAAAAAGAGAGAAACAAAAAAUAAUGAGCUACACUAGCCCAGUAAGUAAAAUAACACCAUAAAGUGAGGUUUAAGCAUGCUAAAUAAAUAGUAAAAGAGCUGACCGAAAAUAAAUCAAUUUUUGAAUAAUGUAUAUAUUUCUUUUGAAUUUACUAUUAUUUUUAUAAACAAAUACUAGAAAUUCGACGUCAGGCUAUGGCCACGUAACCUAGUGGCAUUAGUCAGAUAUAAAAUACACAAAGUGCCAAAUACCACUCUAAUCACUGAUGGUUUGGUGUCGAAAUCAAUUUCCCAGAUUACAAAUUGAUAGAGCGUAUGAAUAAUCUCCAUUAGCGGAGCUAGACCAUAGCCAUGUUGAAAAUACAUAUAUAUAAAACAAAUUUCAUAAUUUACCCAGUCAUAUUUUUAAAUUUUAUAACAUAAUACAUAACAUGCCCAACCUAUUUGACCAAGUAUAAAACAGAUAUCAUAUUUAAUAAACUAAUUAUUAUUUUACAAAAUUUAAAAAAUAUACUUUGAAGUAUUAGGUUACUUACCUCUUCUUUUUUCAAAAUUUUACUUGAGUUAGGUAGGUUAGAUUCACCUAUUUUAAUAUCAUUAAAAUACUAUUAAUUUUAUCAUUAUCUUAGUAGUCGAACAAAGUUAUAAAUUAAAAUAUUAUUGGGGAAUACGAUCUUAUGCCCAAAUUAGGGUGAAAGAAAGGCAAGGUCAAACAGGGGUGAUACAUGAGCUAUGAUUUAAGUAGCUUAAUAAAAGUCAAGGAUAACUAAAUUUUUGGGGGUACCUAACAAGGUUGAGGUAUAGAGUCGGUAGAUCACCAGGUACCGAGGCGGUUCAAGGCUUCCACCUUAGGGUCAACUUGGAUUUGAGCAAAGGGAGUUAGAACUUUGAACUAAGAUCCCUGGAUUUGGCUUAAAGAGAGAAAAAAGAAGAGGAGAGAGAGUCUCAGUCUGGGUUCAAUCAAGGGUCUCAGUUUGGUUAUCGGUCCAGGUUGACCUGGAGCAAUCAAUAUGUUGACCCAUGAGUCAAGAGAGAAAAAAGAGGAUUUGAGAUAUUAAUCCAUGAAUAAAUAAAUAAAAUGGAAAGAAAAAAAGAAUUAGAGGAGAAGAGCAGGAAGACAAGGAAGAGAGGAGAGAAGACCGAGGAAGAGUGGGUGCCGAUGAUCUGGCGGCUAAGCAUGGUGGAGCUGGUGAUGGCAUUAGUGGCCUCAGUGACGACCAAGGACCAUAGCUGGAGAUAGUGGUGACGGCUGGUGGGAAUGGUUAUGCUUGGCCAAAAUAGAAAAAGAGGAGGGGCAAGGUCCCUAGCUACCUCGACGGUAGCUUCUCGGCCAUUGCGGUGGUGCAUUUCAGCAUAUUGCGAUGAUAUAGGUCUCGAAAUAAAGAUAAAGGGCAACAGAAAAAAAUAGAGGAGGAGAUUUCGAACGGUGAUGCUUGGUCGAGGUGGCACGCCGACCACUGGAGAAGAAUGAGGAAGGAGAGAGCUUCAUGAUAGAUCGAGUGGAGGAGAAUUGGGGUUUUUAUAAAGAAUUUUAGGGGAAGAAGAUAAGCUUGGGUUAUCGGCGAAUCCGGCCGGCUAUUCGUUGGUUGCAGUGGCCUCCAACAACUACCAGCCGUUCGCAUCGGCUCGACGAAUCUCCACCGGCCAUAGUUGGGAGUGGCCUUAUCCCAACAACCCGGGGAUCAGGCAGAAGAGGAAGACAUCCUCUUCUGUUUCGAUCCCAAAAAUUUAUUAAUUUUCUAAUUGAAGUUGGUGGGCAUUGCUGGCUUCAAUAUGGGAUAGGCCUAAUUGGUUCGAUUCUCACAAUUAGUUUUAAUGAAAAGAAGAGUUGGGGUUUUGCCCUCCUCAAAAUAAUAGGACCAGCAAUUGUUCGCCCUCCUCAAAAUAAUCAUGGCCCAUUCUCUCCAUUCAAAACUGCAUGGUGAGAUGGACGUCUUUCGGAUCUGCAUACUGUUAUGUUGAUUUAUUUUUCCGACAAUCAUCGGUGGCAAUUAUUAUGAUGCUAAAAUGAAAAAAUAUAGAAAUAGGUUUUUAUUUGAAAAUUAUUUUUUUACUGUGUUAUAACAGCUGAUAGCAGUUUCAACAUAUAGCAACUUCGUUCAUAUAACAUUUUUUUCUUUAUUCCUUUACAUUUUCUAUUUUUUGGUAGCUGGUAACCAACUGUGCAAAUGAAUCAAACUGUUUAUGAGCAGGUAGGGCUCGGACUCAUCAGAAGGUUCAUUUGAGCUCAACUCAGUUAGGAAACGAGCCAAGCUCAAACAUGUUUCUGAGCUCAGCUCAUAAACGAACCAAGCCGAAAUAUCUAUUACUGGGAUUGUUGCUGGAAAUGGGAUCCGGGGGCGACCGGUCCGCUGGGAAGGAGGAGCUUCGGCGAGAACCGGCGGGCGGCGAUUCGUCGGCGGGCGGCGUCCUUCGGAAGAUCUGCAAAAAAGCCGGUGGCCGAGCUUUCCGGCAUCGGCCUUCCGAUGCUUAAGUCAGAGGGGGCCCAUAUGUGGAGGAGGAGAGAGGAGGAAGAUAUAUUUUCCCGGAUUUUAGCGUCCAACCCCCUCUAGGAUGGAGGGGUCCCCUUUUUAUAGGGGGGUUGGAUUACCUGUGAUGUGAUGGGGCGAGGUUGCCGUACGACUUAGCACGUCGCUUGAGUUGGUGCACGAUCAGGUUAAUUAAUAUCUUGAUGUCGGAGGUGAGGCCGGGAUCAGAGAGUGUCACGGCUGACCGAACGCUGCCGAGUUGAUUUGCCGUGAAGGACUGAAGAUCUGUAGGUAAUAGAAGCCACGCGCAUUAAUUGUGGAGUAAGUCGAAGAUAUGCAUUAAUUGUUGAGUGAGCCGGAGAUAUGUAUUAAUUGUUGAGUGAGCCGGGGGUUUUCAGAGACCAUGCGCAUUAAACGCUGAGGGCGGUGGCAGGGUAUGGCCUCUGACCGAACUUCAGAAGGAUGCGACCGCGGUAGGUGAGCGGCGAGGUCGGACUUCCGAGGUCAAGAGCUCUGAAGUUAGACGCCUUGUGGGGCGCCAGGUCGGGCGUCCGGGGUCGGACGAUUCCGAGGUCGUGGGCCGUUGGUGCGCUCGUGUGCUUAGGGGGCGACUUACAUUCCCCCAACAGGGAUAUAGUGAAAAAGUUCAGCCCGGCUCAACUAAAGCUCAGCUCUAAGACAUAGUCAAGUCGAGCUUGAACAAAUUAUGUUGAUCUUGGCUCGAGCCAGGUUGGAACAGCUCCUUUAUUUUUCAAGUUGAGCUUGAGCAGAGUAACUAUAGGCAACACUUAUGCCUUUCUUUAAAAAUCACAAGGUUGAGUUGGCAUGGAAGAGAUCCCAUAUCAUGUUGCUGUUUGUUGAAGUUUUGAUGAAACACAACAGGAGAGGGCCAAGGCCAAUAGCACUCGACAUGCACUCCGUCCGAAAAACAUGAAAAUGGCCGAGUCCGGUCACGAGUGAAGCUUGCUUUUUCUCUUCUUCUACUUCUUUUCUUCUUUUUAAAACGGGCAUUUCAUACAUCACAGAUACGAAUACACUUAAUAGAAUCGGAAAAUAAAAUGUCCCAAAGUGCUCCAGACAUAUUUCACUCCCCAGUCCAUACUCCAUAGGGUGCCUCCGGAAUGGCUCGCGACAUAUGUUGGGUUGGAAAAAUUUAAAUACGCACACAGCCCGAGAAUUCGGCCGCGUGCGAGUUUGAAUUUCGUGAAACGCUCGUUAGGGCGUUCGUGAAAUCACCGCGGGCGCAUCCGUGGAAGGCGCGGAUGCGUCCCAAAAAGACUGAAAUAUCUUUGCUCAAAUAUCCCUAUAAAUACCCCCUAUUUCAUUCUAUUCUAAAUACGAAGAAUUAGAAAAAAAUACCCGAAAAAUUCUGGAGAAAAGUUCUUCCUCAUAGCCACUUCUAAUUUUCAUUUUUGCAAUUCUAUUCGGUUUAUUUUAUUCUUUUUGUUUCGUUCUUCACUGGAUCUGUAAGUCCGAUCGAGUUUGAUUUGGCUUAUUCCGAGACAUACCGAAGAAGAGGUUUAGGGUCUUCAUAUUUCUGAGGAGGAUUGUCGGGAGAUCCGUACAUGGGGGCAAACACUUCUUUGAUACGCGCUUCGACCUGCCUUCAAUCAGGUAAUUUCCUCUUACUUUUGUUUUAAAUUUAAUAUUAGUAGAUUUAUAGGAUUUGUAAUUUUAUGAUUUGAAUUUAUUAAAUUAAUAGAUUUAUUUUGUGCUAGGAUAGAUUUCUUUUGUGAUAAAAUAGAUUUAUUUUGAUACCGAAAUAUAUAUAUAUAUAUAUAUAUAUUAUUUCUUUUAAGAAUUUCUAUUAAUUAUAAUUAUUGGAUUUAUUUGCUUAGUUAGGUGAUAUAUUGCUAACAAGCCGCCACCUAGUAUGCCGCCCUAUUAGCCUCAUGAUAUAGAAAUAUAGUAUGAAAUGUAACUCCCUCUCUCACCAGCAUCCAAAUGUCACAAAGUAGGGAAUGAACUUCUCCGUCACUGCUCGAGUUCCUACGGACCCAGCCAAUCACCGUGGCCGAAUCAUCUUUCAGUAGAACUAAACUCGCCUGAAGAAACCGCCAUGCAUAAUGCACGCCCAUCCAAACCGCCCGCAUCUCAAAAAUCAAAAUAUCGAAAAUCUGAUAAUCCUCUACUGCCACCAUCCUAGAGAUCAGACUUUCGGCCCCUGCUCUUUUGCCUCCAUUCAAAGAUCAGGCCAUCAAAAUUGCCUCACACCCGAUUCAAUACAAAUGACAGGUAACUAAAAGUAACGUUGGGGUGGACGCGGUCAAGAAGAAGAGAUAAACAUGUCCCUUCUUCUUUUAUUAUAUAGAAAAGAAACGGGCCGCAAAUUGCCACGGCUUGGAACACGGACACGUUUACACCACCUCGGCCUUGUCGGACGACCGAUAAAGGGAUGCGCUCGGCCCUGGACACGGCCAAGAGAUGGACAACCAAGCCGAGAACGGACGAAGAAAAACGAAAGCUUUGUCUCGGCUCAGAACCUCUACCCACCGGCCUGAGCGGUUGGCCGUAAGGCCGGAAAAAUGAAAGAAAACGAGCCAAAUAAAAGGGUGGGUCCUAGGCCAUUUCUCUGGGCUUUUCACCCUCAAGAUGCAUGACACAUCUCAUUAUUGCAAUCAAAUUGAGAGAGAGUUGCAAUCAGGUGAAGCGACAAGACAUUAGCAGGAACACCACGCAUUGAAUUGAUACGAACAAUGAAAUGCGCCUGAAAAUGCAUCUGGUUGCUAAAGAUUUUGGGUAAAGGACAAGCUAAGUAAAUUUUAGAUAUUAAAAUUCUAAAAUCAAUUAUCUACAUAGGAAGAAUGUCUAUAAUUGCAGGUGAGGUGUGGCCGAUAGUUUUUAGGAUUGGCAACCAAGCCUAGAUUAGGCAGAGUCUGCCCGGGUCAAGAGAGAGCACCUUUUAAUGGGUAAAUUUACUUUGGAGUGCCGAGGGAAUUGGAAAGCUGGGGAGAAAGCCCACUUUUUCUUUGAUGGUAUUAGAAUUUCUUUGCAAACCAAGGUUGGAGAGCCAUUUUCUUAUUGUAAAUUUUAAUCAAUAAGAGAGAGAAGGAAUCCUGACAUGCUUUGCUCAAUUUUAUUUUAAUUAAAAAAAGAGAAAAUAGGGUCCAUAUCUCUUUUUUAUAUUAACAAAGAAUAAAACUAAACUUACUUAUCUUUGCUUAUAUUAAUGACGUCUUCGCUUGCAUAAUUGAGAUUGAAUUCCUCUUCUAGAUACUAAAGUUUUCUGCAAUAAAGAUGAAAAGUAAAAAUAAUCAUAAAAAGGCUAAGAUUCUAAGACAGAUAGAUCUCCACUGUUACAUCAACUUUCUCUUCAGCUAUAUAGCCUAAAUGCUAGAAUUUGAACUUCAUUGCUCAGCCCAUCUUCUAUCUUAGGCUAUCUCUAAACUAUUAGGUGCCCACUUAGGUUUGACCAAACAUAAUCCUAGACAUGUAAUGAAUAUAUGCUGCUUUUUUUUUCUCUCUCUCUCUAUGGAAUUCGGGUCAGCCCAUUCCAAAGCUACUAUCGAGUAUUUUUUGAAUCCAAAUUACCCAAAUAGGCUCAAAAGCUUGUACUUAACCCACAUUCCUAGAUAACUGGCCCAAGCUUGCUUUGUAAUCAACCCGUAUGUAUGGUCUAAGUCUAGAGCAAUAAAUUGCAAGUCAGUCAGGUUGGCCCUGUUUGUGCUAGAAAGUUUUCUUUCCCCCGCUAAUAGAUCAAAGACAUGUUGCAAAUUUUUUCUUCAAUACUUUUUGUCAUAUACUUAAAAUAUAAUAACAAAAUAAUGCUAAGAAAAGAAGAUCUGGGAUUACAAAUUAAGAGAUAUAAAAAGAAAUAGAAAUGAAAAAGAAAAUGCGGUAAUCUUGAACACCAUAUCUAGGCCACUUUUAUUUUCAGCAUUUUUACUUCGUUCUAAUUAGACAGCCUUGUAUCCCAUCAAAAAAAGGGACAGUGUUCCCAGUCGCCUAAAGUCAAGCUUUAAGGAGCCCAUCAUACCACCAUGGUAACUAUCUUACAGUCCUAAGGUAGGUUUGAAUGGUUCCCUGAUCCCAUGGUGACCAUUGGUUUGGAGGUAGAAUCGAAAUCCAAUGGACUCAAGUAACCAAGUACCCAUGCGAUUAGAAAAAAUCGUCACCACCUGUAUGUAUGUAUGUAUGUAUAUAAAGUUUGGGCAAGUUGUAAUUCUGGUCAGUAUUUACCCACCCUAUUAGAGAAAAGGUGAAAAAUUUUGUUCAAUAUAUUGAAAUCAUAUUGGCCAAUAUCUCAAGAAUAUCCCUCUAUUUUAGCUGGGAUAAUAAGCUUAGAUUUUAAAAAUAUCGAUCGACAAGAGCCCAAUAUUGAUAUAAGUCAGUAUCUUGGCUAAUAGUAACAGGGACCAACCCUUGCUUCUAUGCAUUUUGUUAGAAGCCAACACUCCAAAUUUAGAUUUCCAAUACAACCAUGCUAGCAUGGCAAAAUAAGAAGUCAGGAGGGAUGUUUUGAAGACAUUUUCAAGUGAUAUAUUUGAAGUGCAAUAUGUAGGAUGUAAUUUAUAAGCGGAGAAAACCAGCUUAAUUGGUUAUAUCUUGAAAACAAAAUUGCCAUUCCAUAAAAUCAUACAUGUUAGUAUAUAGCAUACAAACACCUGUAUGUUUAUAUUAUAUGAAUGUAUGUGCAUAUGUAUGCAUGUACAUAUACGAGUAAGCAGGUGUGUAAUGAUCUCGAACAAAAGAGAAAAAUGGAGUUCUAAAAAAUAAAAAUAAAAAAGAGAAAAAAAUGAUCUCAGAAGGCAGAAAUGAAACAAUAGAAAGUUUAAAAGUGUUCAAGUACUUGAACCGUGGGAAUAUGUUCCAAAGGAUACAGAAGUAAAGAAACCGUACCACCCAAAGAAAAUCUCAGCUAGCAUUACUCAUUGAAGGGGGUACAGUAGUGAUCCCCUUUCCCAUCCCAUCAGAGAGCCAUCCACUCCAUCCAUUAUGUCGAUCCAACGGCCAUUGCCACCUCCUCAUGAAAAAAAAAACGAGAAAUCUGGAUUUAUUCCCUCCAAAGUUUUCUAAUUAGGAAAAGGAAUCCCUGAUCACUUGCACACUUCCCAAGUUAUGAUUGGAAGCCAUACAUCCAUGAAAAAGAGAACUCCAUGCGACGACGAAACAAUCCGAUAGCUCUUGUCGUUCGCCACCUCUUGAGCCAAAGCAAAUAAAUAUUGAAAACCUGUGUUUGUGUGCAAUUAUAGGAACUCCAAGGAAGAACCUAAAACCAUGUAGCUCCAUGGGAUCUUUACCUAUCGGACACCUACUGUCAGUAUCACCUCCUCUAGAUCUCAUCUAAAUCUAGAGAGGGGAAAUAUAUAAUAUUUCUCUAGCAGAAGCUCCAUAGUUUGAAGUCUCCCUCCUCAUCCGACUCCUCCCAAGGAGAGAUCGACGGGUUGAUAAUUUGAUCCACAAAUAUCGGUGACUGGAAUGCUCCGAAGUCGACCCACCAUUCCUUUUCCAUGGUGCUCGCUACGCAGCUGCUCGAGCUGGUCGUCGUCGUCGUUGUGGAUGGAGAGUAUUGGGUGGUGUCGGAUGGCGAAGAUGGAGAUGAAGGGGAGGGAGGAGACGGCGAUGGGGUGAUCGCAGGGCUGAGCGUGGAGGUGGUGGGGGUGGCGGCGUUCGCAGCGGCAGCAGCGACUCUCUGGAUGGACUUUGGGGAGGUGACAGUAUUGGGAGGGUGGUAGGGGAGGGAGGUGGGGAAGUUGAGGGCGGCCGACGAGCCCCUGAGGCAGAGGAGGGCGGCGUCGUAGGCCCUCGCAGCGGCUUCAGGGGUGGAGUAGGAACCCAGCCAGAUCCUGGUCUUCUGGUGGGGUGCCCUGAUCUCUGAGACCCAGGAACCCCAGCUCCUCAUCCUCACUCCCUUGUAUGGCCUCUUCCUAAUACUUUCCACCCUUGGUUGGAGGUUGGUCAUGGUGGUGGUGGUCAUGGUGGUGCUGAGAAGCGGGAUGGAAGACUUGGGAGUAUGAAGGACUCUGCUGCUGCCGCUGCUCUUCACCAUGGAUGGAUGAUGAUGAUAACGCACUGCUGGAUUCUCCUGUUUGUCUACUUUUGCUCCCUUGCUCUUUCUAUGAUCUUAGUGGGAGAAGUGAAUGAGAUGGGUGGCCUAUUUAUAGGGGGGAGAAUGGUAGUGUUGAUUGCAUAAAUCUCCAGAAAGUUCUCCAAAAUUAGACAGCCAAUUACUCGAAAAUCACCCAAGCAUAUUUAAGGAAUUGCGAAGUAUAUUUUUAGAAUCUAUUAUCGUAAAUUUUCUUUUAAAGAAUUAACAAAGUAUAUUCUUGGAAUAUUUAUACAAUCUAUUAAAUCUCAUUGCAGGACAGGCAAGAAAUUCUUUACAACUUCAGUUUCUUUUCUUUAUGGUAUUAAAGCCUAUUAUUCCUUCUUGCCUACUGAAGUUCCUACAGACUCGUAUGGUUCGCAGAAAAAAAAAAUCACUGAAAUAUUUUUUUCUGAGAAGAUAAUUCCUGCGAAUAGGAUGCCUAAAAAAAAUAAUUGUGGCGGAUCAUAAAAAAGUGGUACAUCUUAGAGUGGCUUAUAUUUAGUUGAGCAUCUAUUUUUCUAAAAAAAAGUUGUAUGAUAUACCUAUUAUACCCUUAAUUAAACUAAAAACCUUAUCCAUGGAUUUUAAUGGCUUAAGAAACUUGCUAAUGCUCCGGCUGAACUUAUUUGGAUUCAGUCUUUACUCCAAAAAUUGGGUAUUGAUGCAUAUUCUUGAAAUCUAUUGCCAUAUAUUUUUAAUUAAAAGAUUCUCAAAGCAUGUUCUUGGGACAUUCGUAGAAUCUAUUAAAUCUUCAAGGUCGUGUAGCUACUUAGCAAAGGAUUUUCAAAACAUAUUCUUGAGUUCUAUUAUUGUAUAUUUUCAUACUUAUAUUUACUACCAUUGUAAGUAAUUGUACAAAAAUAUUAUAAAAGAAUAUACAAAUCUCCUCGUCUCUGAAGGUCCAGUAAGAAUUUCUUCACAACUCCUGUUUCUUUUCUUUUCUAUGGAUAACUCUUUGGUCCAAGGAGGGUACCAGAGAGAAAAAAAAAAGAGCAAUGGCCAUGUAUAUACGAGGCAGCAGGUCAAUUGAUAACAUUGGUGGCACAUAAGAAAAGUAUAUUUUUCUUGAAUUAGUGUCUACUUAAUUAAUGCUAUCCAAUGAUGGAACCACCUUUAUUUCGAGCAUCUUUUCUUUUAUGAAAAUUUUCGGCAUGGUAUAACUAUGUCAAUGUCUUCUUAAAAAUCUGAUUACGUGUGAUUCGGGCAGUAGCAUCAUAUAGUGACAUUUGCAUGUAAUGUGGCUCAGAUACGAGACGUUUGUCAGGUGCAACUUGGAAGCCAGUUGUCUCACAAUAAUCUAAUGUCAUGUAGCUAUGAAAAAUCCAAGCAUUGAGAAUUCAACAAGGUGGCAGCAUGAUGUUGAACCCCAAUUAUACCUAGCUCCUUUGGCAUGUUCUAGGGAGAGAUGACCAUAAUUAAAUAAAAUGCACAAGAAGUGCGCAUGAUGGCACCUUAAUGAAUCUCACACCAUUUGUUACAUCUUACAUUGCUUCAUUUUUUAAUCUAGUUAUAGAGAAAGAAGAAUAAUUUUGUCAAUCAUAACAUCUAGAUAAGAUUGCACAUAUAUAUAUAUAUAUAUAUAUAUAUAUAUANNNNNNNNNNNNNNNNNNNNCACAUAUAUAUAUAUAUAUAUAUAUAUAUAUAUACACCUUUCCACACUUGGUUCCACAUAACAAAGUAAUUAAGAAACUGCUUGGAAACUCACCUAUCCAGCUCAAGGAAGCGGACGAUCUCGAGAAGAUGAGAAAGUGGCUAGAUUACUGUUCUUAGUUAUAUACUAUUCUCUUCCCACUCUUUCUUUGAAUAUAUUCUAUACGUAUGUAGUAGGUACAAUUUCUAUAUCGUGUUCAUACAACCGAGCUGUAACUUACAUUGAUUCUUUUCGUCAGCAACAGUAAAUAUAUUGACGGUUUUUUACAUUUUAACUAAGCUUAAAUUAUGAGGGACAACUUCUUGCAUGGUGACAAUUAUCUAAUUAAUGCAUCGAACCAUAAUAAAUGUUAAAAUGCAGUGGACUGCAAUGUCCUUCAUUUGUAUUAUGAUGAAGAUAAGAUUAUUAGUUAUACGGCCUCGCUUUGGAAAUAAAAAUUAGAGAGAGAGAGAGAGAGAGAGAUGGCAUGAGAUUCCUUAAGGAAGCUUCGUGGAUUUGGGAGUGGGACGCUUUCAGGGGCUCAGCCGGGACGUUGAGAGAUGCGAUGCAUGCAGCCCAACAACUUCACUUAGCUGGAUCUCUUCUGGCCUGCAAAGCUCAAACCGCGUAAUGACUCAGCUCUCAGGAAAAGGACAUCUUUGUUGAAGGGAACUCGCAUAUUGGAGCCGGAUAACUAGGCAGCGGUUUGGGACUUCUUAUAUGGGAUUCAUUUCCAAGGAUGAUCUGCUAUGGAACUAUAGAUCUGGAUUUAAUGGCCCUCAACAUUCAUUCAUUCAUUCAUGCAUACAUACAUGUAUAUAUAGUCUCCAUCCAGAUCCGAUCAAAUCUACAUUAGACAACGAGAGUCUCACACGAUUCUCCAAAUUGUUAGAUAUAAUCUACUAUCUCUAAACUGCAUAUAUACCAACAAAAAAAAAACAUAUGAUUUAAAAUCUCUUAACCUAUGCAUCAUUUAAUCAAAAGAAAAUAUAAUUUAACAUUACUUAGACUGUUUACUUUUAGAUGCAUAGAUUAGAUAUCUCCAAAUCAUCCAAUUUUUAGUAUGUAAGUAGUUUAGAGAUAGUAAAUAACAUUCAACGACUCCGAUCAACCUAUAUCUGAUUAAAACUAUGUGGAAAUCCCCACGAGUGUAGCCCAAUCUCUCUCUCUCUCUNNNNNNNNNNNNNNNNNNNNNNNNNNNNNNNNNNNNNNNNNNNNNNNNNNNNNNNNNNNNNNNNNNNNNNNNNNNNNNNNNNNNNNNNNNNNNNNNNNNNNNNNNNNNNNNNNNNNNNNNNNNNNNNNNNNNNNNNNNNNNNNNNNNNNNNNNNNNNNNNNNNNNNNNNNNNNNNNNNNNNNNNNNNNNNNNNNNNNNNNNNNNNNNNNNNNNNNNNNNNNNNNNNNNNNNNNNNNNNNNNNNNNNNNNNNNNNNNNNNNNNNNNNNNNNNNNNNNNNNNNNNNNNNNNNNNNNNNNNNNNNNNNNNNNNNNNNNNNNNNNNNNNNNNNNNNNNNNNNNNNNNNNNNNNNNNNNNNNNNNNNNNNNNNNNNNNNNNNNNNNNNNNNNNNNNNNNNNNNNNNNNNNNNNNNNNNNNNNNNNNNNNNNNNNNNNNNNNNNNNNNNNNNNNNNNNNNNNNNNNNNNNNNNNNNNNNNNNNNNNNNNNNNNNNNNNNNNNNNNNNNNNNNNNNNNNNNNNNNNNNNNNNNNNNNNNNNNNNNNNNNNNNNNNNNNNNNNNNNNNNNNNNNNNNNNNNNNNNNNNNNNNNNNNNNNNNNNNNNNNNNNNNNNNNNNNNAUAUGGCUCCAAUUUGUGGGUCUCACCAGCAUCUCACAUGUUCUCUUUUUCGAUAAAAUCUCACACGCUUUUAAGGUUGCCAACUGCCCUUCUGAGCUCAUUUACGCGUACGCGUCUUGACUUGGGGGAAGCUCCAAAACGCUGGCUGCAGAGGCCACUGUAAUCUCACGCUGUCACACACCAAUUGCUCAUCAUGAAACCUUUUACUCUAUCAUACAACUUUACAACUGAUGUCAUGUGGUGCGAUAUAUUAUAAGGUUUAGCAUUUUAAUUUCGGCCCACGAUGGGAUUCUCUCCGUACCAGAUUUGCAAAAUAGAGCAUCACAUGGAUCGAACUCGGACACAAAAAAUAUCAAAUUUUAAAUAGGUCUGGCCAGAAGCUAGACUAAAAAUAAAUAGAGUUUAGUCUCGAGGCUAGCCUAUGAUCAGUGCUAGUGCAAAGUAGGCGAGCUUCAGCGAGCCAAGCUACCUCAAACUCUGAUUAUAUUUACAACCAGAUGCAGUUCAUGCUGACAUACUUCAUUUUAAAUUAAACUCACAUCUUAAAUUGCUCGUGUCUAGCUCCUCUAAGUAAUUAGAUUGAAGUCUAAAGAUCUCUCAAUCUUGAAAUCAAGACAUUAUUUUAUAAAAUUAUUUUAACUUUCAAUUAAUAAAUAUAAAUAGUAUUUUAUUAAUAAAUAGAAUAAUAUUUAUUUUAUUUAUUGAUAUUUUGAGUUUAAUCAAACUGAGCUUGAACAAGCAAAACAUUUGUCUAGUUUGGUUGAUAUACUUAUUGAGCGAGCGGAACUCAAGCCACAAACUUGACCUGGGAGAUGUAUAUAGGUUAUAGGUUAGAUAUGAGUCAUAUGAGGGUGUUAAGAAUCGGCUUGUUUAUUCCUUAAAUCUUUUCUAGGCUCGGGAAGGUCCUCAUCUGCGUCCUCUCUAGAGUAGAGCUAAUCAUGGGCUAAAUUUGGGCACAAAAAAUAAUAAAUUUUAAAUAGAUCCGGCUCGAAGUCCGAGUAAAAAUAAAUAAAAUUUAGAUCUGAGGCCCGGGGUCUACAAUCAACUCUACUCCAAAGUUCAUUUAGAACAGUAUCUUCAAACCUUGCUGCUAUCUCUCUCUCUCUCUGUCUCUCUGUCUCUCUCUCCCCUCCUGACUCUUUAUUAUAUGACUGAAGACUGUGAUAAGAAAAGCUUCACAUUAUAUAUGACACCAUGCGCUACCUGAUAGAAUCAUUAAAAUAAGGGAGCUGUCUGGAAUGGACAGCAGAACAAUGGGUGAUCCAAUAGUUAAUCAUCCUUGAUAUCUGGGCAGACUUAGGAGAUUAGCUCACUGUGUUUUUUUGUUGGGAAGUCGAAAGAAGGCUUCUCUCAAACUACAUAACAAUGCAUAGAUCAUUGAGUCAAUUAAGGAGGCACUGUCAAUUGGUCACUCAAGUAUGACUGUCAUCCAGUCAUCGCAUGUCUGAAAUAUGGUUUCCUUGAGACUAUACUUGACAUGCCUUAAAUUGGCCUCAGACUCAUUUCUAGCCCGAAUUACUCAAAUAGAUUUCACAAAUUAUCACUCUUAAUCAUGUGUAUUCUUUUUAUUAAUGUGUAUUUUUCCAAUUUAAAAAGGAGCUUACAAUGUCAAUGUACAUCUGUAUUAAAUUCUUCUUCUCUCUUCAUCUUACUUCAUAAAGAUGGCUUUGGUGCUACUGCUAGUAAACUCCUUUUUGCACAGCAUACAUAAUUGUUAGCAGUAGCAUUGCAGCUUUUAAUACGCCAUUUCAUGCACUCUCUCUUCACUAAUAACCUUAUUGCAAGUCCCUAAAAAAUAUUAUCAGUAGCUAGACUUUGGAUAUUACCAAAUGUGCAUCACCUUAAAAAUAGCUUUUCUCAUUUCUAAAUGCAGUGUAUUUCCUUUGUGAAUAAUAAUUGUGGUGUAUAACAUUGUUGAUGCUAGAAAGAGUCACACUCCAAGAAUUAAGCAUAUUAGUAAACAUUUCCAAAAUAAUAGAGGGCCCCCUAGCAAUUGUUACCUUCAUUUCUUUUCUGUUGGUGUAGUACUUUCAAGAAAGCAGGGGGAGGGACAGGAGGGGGUUGGUGAGUAGAGAGCUCCAAGUGGAUGUUCUUAAAACAAAACGCCAAACACAUAUAAUAUGGGACAAAUGAUCUCAUCACUAUAGUCUUAUUAUAAUAAGGUAAACCACUUAUGUUGCAACAAGAAAUAAUUUAAUUUUGUUAUGAUAUUAUUAGCUUUCGAGACUCGUAGCCAAGUAUGAACACUCUCGGCCAACUUUCUCACAGAAAACUUGCAUGUGCUUGUAUUAUAAGAAGAUCUCAGACCUGAUCUCCUUGUAGAACGUUACUGGUCGGAGUUAAUGUUUUGGUGGCCAAAGAUGUAAUGUUCUUCUUCUUUUUUUAAAGAAAAAAGAUUAAAGUGAAAACUGAUAUUUUUUAAUGAUAAUUAGGGUGCUAAUUAGUUGAGUUACAAGAGAUCUAGUUUCCAUCAGACUCUUCAAUUUUGAGUCAACUUUCUCUGAUUUGAAGAAGUUAUGAUUUUCCAAACAAUGAAACAGACUUCCAGAAGAGAUUAGUGAGCUCUAAAGACCAUCUAAGCAUGCAUGUUAAGCAUCUUAACUUUAUUAUGCUCUCAAUCCUUAAUAAUUUCCCUAAUACAACGCUGCAGCUGCACUAGUUAACAAACAUUAGGAAUCAAUUACUGCUUAGAUUCAGCUAAGCUUGGGACACAUCUACCGUCCAGCGCCUGUUGGGACCAGUACCAGACUUAUUUAAUAACAUCUUUUAACCCCUGAUAUCAUCCAUACCGAAGUAGGGAUGGCUAUGAGUUGUAUAUCCACAGAUGACAAGAUUAGCCCUCAUCAUAAGAGGAUAUGGGCAUCUGGAUGAUAGGCGACCAGAUCUUGGUGGGCAUGCGCCCCUUAAUCUCAGCUCAUGGGAUGUCUCAUAUUCCAUUAGUCAUUAUUCUUUAAUGUCUGGAUUUGUAUGAAAGUUUCAGAUAUAUUCUUCUGAAAGGCACCUUCAUGAUCUGUGUGAGGAAUCUAAUUGCGUGAUAGUUUUUUUGAACAGAUGACAACUGAGAUAGUAAAUUCUAAGAGCUUGUUCAAAUAUUUAAUACAGUAGCAUACACCAACAUUAUGGUAGGAAAGCAGGUGGGGAGGAGGAUUUGAUGCCUGUGAGGGAGUGUCUCACACAUACCCAACAUGGCUCAAAGACUCUCCACCAUCCGCCCAUCCUUCUCUUUUAGUAUGUUCUAAUACCCACAUAUAUUAUGUUUCUAUUCUUUAACACAUACGAGUGAGUCAAAACCUAUGUUGCAGGAGAAGUCAUGAAACUAAGAAAAUAGAAACAAACAAAAAGAAGCAGAAAUUAGUCAUUGCGACGGGCAAAAACUUGCAUUAAGAAAAAAAUAAAUCAAUAUAAAACAUAGUAAAUAUCCUAGGAAAUAAGAGUUUCCUCACAACUCAUUUAUAUCAUCACUAGUUGAAAAUUUUAAGAAUAUGAACCCAAAGAAUUGGCAUUUGAAAUCACAGUUGGCUGUUUAAUGCACUUCAGUAGAACAUGUCCGAGCAGAUAAUAUCGUAUCAUCCAAAGAGAAACAUAAGGUCCACCAUUUUAUUAGCUGAUGUAAAGAGAUGAGCAAACAUACGGAUAGGCAUGCACUGAAAGAUUUCAUAGCAAUCUCAAGCAAGGAAUUUCCAACCACGAGGGACAGCUUAUCUGAAGGUCAAUAGUAAGUACGGUGACCUAAUCUACAUAUUUCUAGCCGUCUAGUCUUUUAACAGAAACAUUACGAAUCUAUCUUGCUUUUCAAAUAACUUAAGCGUUUUAUGGCUCCAAAAAAAAAAAAACUCAACAACAUUUUGCUAGUUCUUGCAAUAAUAGUUAAAAUUAGAUCAAAAGUCAGGAUCUAUUAGUUUAACAAUUUUUUAAGUAGUAUGUUAUCAUUAUUAUGAGAUCUUGAUACAAUGUCUACUCCUUAAUGAUGUGGUUACUUCAUUAUUAUGAUAUCUCCAAUCUAUUGAUAAUUUUGGAUGACUUUCGCCAAACUAACUAUGCUCUGAUAUGCCCUGGCAUUUUCUUUCAGAGAGGAGCCUUUACAUGACUUUGAGUGAAAACAUAUAAUAUAAGAGUACCCUCAAUCGCUAAAAAUUCAAUCACAAUGUUGCCACCAUGUUCACAUUGAAACACGCAAAGCAUUUGAUGGUCUGAUCUUUAAACAUACCAUAUUAAACAUACCAAGACCAAUGGUAAAAGAAACAUCACCAAUUCUUCAUACCAAGCAGUAUGAUUUCAUAUCCCAUGAAAGCAAGAUGGUAAACAAGCAACAAUCUGCCAUGGGAACCCCUUCAAUAGAACUUUGUUUUCAAGAAAAUGCAAAGUUCCGGAUUGAGUUAUUAAUAACCACUUUGUAUUUGGUCAGGAUAACAUGAGUGGAUCCGAUAAUAAAACUAAUCAUCUGUUUUUCUGGAAACAAAGACAGCCCACGCCGCUAGCAAUCCUAGAAAACCGAAUAUGCAACAUUAAGCAGUAGCCAUAGAAUGUCAAUCUAAAGAUGGAUCAUGUUCUAAGAGCUCAAUGAUUGUAAGUUCAGAUGCCUUCUCUAGGUCCAAAUAACUAAUAACAGCCUAACCAUCAAGUUGGGUCAUUGGUGACCUAUUAGCUGCUCCAUGUAGAACCAUUACAAACUUAUCAUUGUCUACUUGCAAUAAUUAAGAACUGUUAAGUUACAAAACCUGCCUUGCUACUGGGACAAAUAUCUCAAAUAUUAGUUUACAGAUUUCCAAUUCAUCAGACAAAGUUGUUAUGGCUUCCUAACUAAAAAGCAGCUCUCAUGAUAUAUUUUGAAGUUGCCCCAGAGGACACAGCCAAUCACUUAUAUCACAUGCUUAGAUGCAAGUAUGAGUAGGUGUCUUCUCAAUUAACGACUAGGGAUAGCAAACUUCUCCAAAUGUAUAAUUUCUUAUGCAGGUAGGAGUCCCAUUAAAUUUAUACAAUUGUUUCAUCCAUGGUCUGCCGAACCGGCCGGUACGGGCGGUCCGGCCUCCGACCGGUACCGGAUCAGNNNNNNNNNNNNNNNNNNCAUGGAAUCCGGUACCGGUACUGGUACGAGACCGGUACGGAAUCGGUACAGAUCGGUAUGAGACCGGCGUGGAUCAGCGUUGAAUCCGGAACCAGUACGGAACCGGUACUGUACCGGUCCAGGCCGCCACCGGUACCAGUACGGCGGACCUUGGUUUCAUCAAUAGUGUGAUAAGAAAAAUACAUGACAUAAAACCAACUAUUGAGUAGUAACAUUGACCCAUAUCCUAUUUUUACCAUAAUAAAUCAGGCUAGAUCAUAUUUUGCAAUGGUUAAGUCUGCAUUAGUAUGACGUUUGAGAAGCUGAGGAUGCCCUGCAGGAAAGCAAUCUCCAAGUGUGCGUAUGUCACUGCUAGUAAGUAAACCAAGUGAUACAAAGAAUCAGCAAAAUAGACAAAAAAUGAGCAUUUUGGGAUUGCAGUCUCAAGAUUUGCCCACAAGUAUAUCUCAGUUACAUACAUGAUUACUUUCAAAAAUAGCCUGAUUUUUUAUAAAAAGCAGAUCUAAUUCAUGCUUUCUGCUUUUCGUGAUAUAACAACGUGUCAUUCUCAGGUAGAUAGUAGAUAUAGAUCCAUCUAAAGCCAAUGGGUUUCCCUAAACCAUCAUACGGAAAGACUUUUAAUUUUUGAGAGAGAGUUAAGUUAGGUAAGACUCAAUUUUAUCAAAUGUCCUGGUUCAGUUAUAAGAAUCGAUACGACAUCACAAUUAGUACAGGAUUGCUCAUCAAUUAUCUUUUUAAACCACUACGGUUCUAAAAAUUGAUGUAUCGUCAUUUUAAAGUAUAGAAUUAUAUAUCAAUUACCUUCUAAUCACAAUAAGUGCAGCCUUCUGAAUUCUUUGUGAAAAUAUGUAGGCAUUUUUUUUAAGAGAUACCAUGGUUUACUUGGCAUGUACACCAUCCAUUUCACAUACACAUGCAUAAAUGUCAUUAAGGACCUAAAAGGUUGUGCUGUAUGUAGGGUCGACGACUUAGAGGAUGUAAAAUGCAACAAUAUCUUCCCCCUCUGAUGUGAUAAAAACUGAAAUCAUAGGAACAGUCAAGACAGAGAUCCAAAGUCAGAAUUAUUAGUAAGAAAUUUAAACUAGGUCAAAGUAAGUUUGGUAAAUUGACAAGUCGAUGACUAAGGCAAAGUGAUCGUUGCACGAUAUCAAGGUAAGGAAAGGUAAAAAUCCAUGAAGAUUGGAGUGUCCAGCUCUUGACAUUUGCCAAUGUGGGNNNNNNNNNNNNNNNNNNNNNNNNNNNNNNNNNNNNNNNNNNNNNNNNNNNNNNNNNNNNNNNNNNNNNNNNNNNNNNNNNNNNNNNNNNNNNNNNNNNNNNNNNNNNNNNNNNNNNNNNNNNNNNNNNNNNNNNNNNNNNNNNNNNNNNNNNNNNNNNNNNNNNNNNNNNNNNNNNNNNNNNNNACUCCUGAUGGAGACACAGAUCUUUUUACACCUUGUCCUUGAGAGAGAAAGUUGCAAGCAUUUAGAUUUUAGAAAUUGAAUAUAUGAAUCAAAUAAAAACAAAGCGACCCUUACUUGAAUUUCUGGCUUAUACCCCUCUAUAGCAACACUAGGCCUCUGUCCUCUAUUUGAUGUUACUAAAUUUAGAAAUUGGAAAAACAGAUGACUAAGUGAUUUGAAUUAAGAUCGAAGAAUUUGUUUCUGGUUAUGGUUUUGGAGGAUGAUAGAUUUGAUUUGAGGUGUUUACUAGAAUUUAGAUAUAACCAUAGGCAAAUAGGAAGCACGGCGACCCCUACUUGAAUCUCUGGCUUAUACCCUUUACAAGAACACUAGGCCUCUGUCCUAUAUUUGAUGUUUCCAGAGUUAGAGAUUUGGAGGAAGCUCGGAUGACUUAGGGAUUUGAAUCAAGAUGGAAGAAUUUGUUAGGGUUAUGGGUUUUGGAGGAUGAAAGAUUUGAUUCGAGGUGUUGACUGGAGUUUAGAUAUAAAACAAUAUUCAAAAUGUUUUCUUUCUAUUCUACUAACAAGCUGAAAAAAGAAAGAAAGAAAGAAGCGGGAUUAAUGGAUUAAUAAUCAUACUGAAGAUUAAUGGAUCCAUGGUGAAGAAACGAGAAACCAAGAGGGAAAAGAGAUCCAAAAUCGCAUUUUUUUCACACCAUAAAAAAAAAAAUCGCAUCUUUUUACUUAUAAUGAUGGAUUCACGGUUCAAAUUUUCAUUCGCGAUUAUGGUAACAAUUUUACAAAAAGAGAUUAAUAUCUGGGCAUCAUAUUCUUGUAGAAUUAAUGAUGGAAACGAGAAAUGCAGGUGGAGAAAGAUGCCAAGAUCGUAGCUUUUUACGCAAUAUAGCUUAACUGCUUAAGGGAAUGGAAUGGAUGGAUAUACCCUGGCGGAGAUGGAGGCGGUGCCGUGGGAGUCGUCCGCUCAGACCACGGUGUAGUCGGCCAGGAUGAGGACGUUGGCGUGCAUCUCCUCCGACACGCACUUGGUCCCCGAAGGCGGGAGGCUCCGUCACACCGCCGCCGCGCGCAGCGGCGGCGCCAGCAGCCGCGCAGCGGAGAAUAGCAGCAGCACGAAGUCUGCUCGCCGGAGCACGGCACCCUUCCCCGUCCCCAUCCCUCUCCUCAUUGUCGACUUCUCCACCUAUGUUUUGGUCGCCGAACACAGGAUACGGCACCGGCCGGACUCUCGACGGCUCGACGCUAUUUCCGGGCAAAGCGAUGCGAGCGAAGGCCCCACAAGUAAUUGGCUCAAAUAGGCGGACCCGAGUAAACCCAAACCUCAUUGGUUGAGGUGAACUCAAUUGCAUUCUGGUGGCAAUGGUUGGGGUUUGGUUUAGACUGGAUCAAGGCACGGGCACUUAAACAACAUCCUUCAAUUUAAACCUUGGCAAUUUAAAUAAAAUCAAAAAUUCAAAUCCAAAGCCAUCAUAUUGAUUAAAUAGAUGGCCCAACACCUCAACCAUAAUCUUUUAAUAAAUAUAUAGGUCAAAUUAGGUUAUACAAGUUAAACGAACUUUAGAUGGGUUGGGUUGCAAUCAAGUUGAUCCAACCUAAUUAUUAAAUGUGCCGAAAUAAGUCAAAUAGGAUAGGACUCUAAACUCGAACCGGCUCACUUUAUAGGUGGAUAAUAGUCAGGUCAACUUAUUUAAUUACAACCAACAAGUCUACUUAUUUCAAGUCUGUCGAGUUAGCAUAUUAGAUCAUAAAUUGUCAUCCUAUGUUAACUUAAGUGCUAUAUAUCUUUUCUUUUAAUUUUUAUUUUUCUUCUAAUUGAAUAGUGCACCAUCUUGUACAUGUCUCUCUAGAUCAUGUCUUAGAGUGAAUUUAAUUGAAGUGUCGGUCUCUUGGAUGUCCGUUAUAGGUUGUCGUGCCAUCAUUUUAUUUUGGUGAAUUAUUUGGUAAUUUGAUGUGUCAUUUUGGUUCUAGAGGUAGGGUAGGGUCACACGACAGAUAGUGAUUGAUCUCAGCAUAUGAAGAUAUUUUUGUUAAGAUCCGAUAGUUUGUAUAGUUAGAAGAACUAUGAUUCCUAGUUGCUUCACUUUAGUUGCUUGCCCAGGCAGUCAACUUGCAUUGGUUAGUGAUUUUUUAUUAAGCUUUCAGGGCUUGUUUGAACGAGGGAUGAUGCAAUCCAUGCAUAGCUUUCUAUUCACAGGAACAAGUGAAGAAUUCGAUAAAUCACCCAAACUAGAAGCAGAGUUUGAUUUCAUCAUCAAGCCUUUAACAAGCAAAAUGAGUUUCUCACUCCUAAACUUUACCGGAUUUAUGGUCAAAAUUUUAAGCACAAUUAGCUUAGAGCAAACAAAGAAAUCGAAGAAAACAUAAAUAACUCUGGUUGUUUUCUAUGGAAGUCACCAAUAUUCUGACGCUGCCUAUCACCAUAAAAAAGCUUAAUGCUAUUUAUACUUUAUAUUGAGCUAUAUGAUACUUUCAAUUCAUUCUCAUGCGACCCGCAUCCGAAUAAAAGAAAACAAGAUUACCUACUUAAUCCAAAGAAAAUAUGAACCAUUAAUCACAAUAGAGUUACAAUCCCACGACUAUCACGAUCGUCCAUCCUAUAUAUCACAUGUGCUAGUGCAAAAUAUUUUGACCAAAUACAUGUGAAAUGCCUCCUAAAAUCAUCAUGCUGACUUUGAUUUUUUUCCGCCCUUAUAGAUAGCGUAAGAAGGCAUCCGACUCUAGUGCUGCUUUCUUAUCUUGGGACCGACCAUCUUGGUCUGAACUCUUGUUACCUGAACCAUAAGGAACAAAUUCCAGGCACAUCAGCACCUAUGCGCCCUGAAUCACUAAAACAAGUGCUCAUUUCUUCAUCUCUGUGAACUGGAUUCACCAAAAAAGUAAAAGCAAUCAUAAAGUAGUGUUCCAUGCCAUUCAUUGGAAGUUCUACUACUUUGCAGCAGCAAUCCCAUUUGCAUGGUGCAACGAACUUUUAAGGAGGAUAUUCUAUGGAGAAAGGUGAAGGCUCAACACCUCUGAAAGGAGAAAAAGAUGGCGGGACCAACAACGAGAAUGAUUGAGAUGAUGCACGCAAAUUAGCUUAAAGUACUGUUGCAUUGAGAUGAUAACCUUUAGCCAUGCACGCAAUAUUUUAUCAUAAUUUAUUCAUUUUUGUACAUUUUUGACACCAAGUUGCAUCCGGUCCAUUUCCUUCCCAAAUCAUGCAUAAAGUGCGAGCACUCAACAGCUGAAGGCUCCAUUACAUAAUUAAGAAAGUGACAGCAUAUUCUACUAGUUGCGUAAAGAAAAUGGAGCUAAAUUCUUCAAGGAAUCUCUGCAACAGUGGCAUGGUCGGCAGAAUUAGAUUUAAUGGCGUCGGUCUCAGAUAUCGGUAGCUCGAGCACCCCUAAUUUAUUCUCGUUAUCGUCCGAGGAUUUGGCCAGGUGAUCCUCGCUCUUACCCCAUAUGAGAGAGUAGAGACCAAUAACUAUGAUAGUUGCUCCAACCACCCUAUCAAGUUCAGAGAAGUCAGUGUAUAACCAAACUCUAUAUCACUAUAUAUAGCUGCUAUGAGAUAACAAGAACUCACUCAUACCUUCCUAAAGUGAUCUCCUCUGCUAAAAUGAUGGAGCCCAGAAUAGCUACUAUUAUCAUGCAAAGAGGGUUGAAUGCAGUCACGAAGACAGGGCCCCUUUCUUUCAUCACUAUUCCUUGAACAAAAUAUGCGAUCCCGGAGCACAUUAUUCCCUGCAUUAGAAUCAGUUCAAUUGAUAAAAGUUAUUAGCUCAGGAACAUAAAUACCGGCAUAAGUUUGGUCUGUUCCUAUGAUUUAGAUGCUUCAACAUCUAUAAUUAUCUCAAACAAAGAUCCCAUUGUAAGAAGCAUCUCACGGAGUAAGCAGCCGUUAGGAGUCUCAGGUCAAAUCCUAUCAACCAUGGCUUGGCAGUAUGCUCCAUUACGAGACCAACUGCACCACUUUGCACCAUACCCAUGACGCAUAUCCAGGCGGUCAAGGAAAGCUCUGCCGGAUAGGACUUCAAUGUAUGCGACUGAACCAAAGAAUCAACCAUCAUGGUGAAUUAGUCACCUAGAGAUGUCUACUUUUCUUCUGUGAUUGAAACAUAUAUAAGGCAUUAUUCGAGCUUCAAUUCUGGUGAUGAAAGAGCAUUACUUGUAGCAGAAAGAAAGCAGACCAACAGAAGCAGCUCCACAGUAGCAUAAACACGCCCUCAAGCCAAUGCUUAUCAUCUUGGUUGCCAGUGUUAUUGUUGUGGUGGCUCCGUCGACCCUCUGUCCAUACAAAGUCCACCACCGGUCCUUUGUAUAGUAUCAUGAGCAAUGCACCCACCAGAGUCACCAGAGUCCCAGCAAUCUUGGCUUGGCUGCGCCGUUUCUUGAUAUCUAUUUUCUCCAUUCUAAUCACACAAUGAAACAUAGUUAGCCUGCGGAACUUAGUUUAUAAUUGCGCGAAAAGUUUUGCUUAAGAUAUUUCGAUAGAGAUGGUUGAAGCUAUUACCUGAGAAGAACGGCGUUGACGAAGGUCAUCGCAGGAAGUAUGUUGUAGAAGGCAGAUGAGAAGCUUGCAUUCGUGUUCUUGGUCCCCAUGUAAUAAAAAUUUUGGUCGAGCACAGGCCUAGCAUGGAAGAUGAGGCACAGCAUUAAGGAAGAAGAAGUUGAUUUUUACGAAGUUUGAUCUAAUUAAUUACAUAGAACUUUGGUGGGUGAGUAGAUGAGUACUCUAGUAGUGCUAAAGCCAUUAUCUUGAGGAAGUUGCAGAGUGUCAUCUUUGGCCUCGCUUUCCUGUUGAAGAGAAGAGAGGGACAUGUUGGCCGAAAGAAGAAGAAAGAGACAUGCAUGCAAUUAGCUAGUAAUGCUGCUCAAGUGUUAAAGAGGGCUGUUUUUAAACUAGAACAUUAGAGGAUGGGAUGUGCUCGUAUGUAUACAACGCCCACAAUUAAGUUGUCUCCAUCACCAUUGCAUCAUGGAUUCAUGGGUGUAAUAGUUUGUAGUAUUGCGUUGGUGCAUAAGAGGUUCCACAAAUAAAAGAACUAAGGGUGCAUGGAUCAGACGGACCUUGUGACUCUAAACUCACGCCAUGAUCCAACCAAUCUGGAUUAGACCUGUCUCCUCGAUCUGGCUUUGGUUUCGUGGGUGAGCACAUCAAAUUCGGUGGUGCACAUUUCUUCGUGCUUGGGGUGAAAAAUGGACUGACCAAUCUGCGAACUGGACCCUGAUAGAGGUGCCAGGGUGUUUUUCUUUUGUUUUCUUGAGGGAAGAUUAAUUUGGUUAAGCUUUGGCUUACACUAUGUCAGCUUUGGUUCUAAUGACCUUGAGAAUGAAACUUUUUUUUCCAAAGUAAAUUGAGAAAGCAACUUGUUACUUUGACUGACCUAGUAUUUUAUGUAACAAUCUUUUUUUCGUAAAAAUUAUAAAUUCUUGUGCAUAUGUAUGGGCUUUUGCACGACCAAGGAAAAUAAUUAUAAAUGUUUCACUUUAGCUUAGCAUGAUGUAAAUGUAGAGAGGAAAUUGGUAUAGGUUCAUUUUUAUUGUUUAAUAAAGUUUAAAAGAAGAAAAAUUAUUUUUGAAUCCAAUGAUGUGGAGACUAUGAGAAAGAUUUAAGAUUCAAAUGAAAUUCAAGGAAGCUUGGGUUUAAGACCCACGAUUUCACCCAAAAAGACUAGUUGAAAGAUGUUAUUUGGAUUCCUGAGCUCUAUAUAAGUACUCAAGAUCUAUCUAAUGUAUAAACGAUGUGGGACUAAAUAUAUACAUGCAUAAGUCUUCGUAUACUCUUACCGUUUAAGUUAUAGCAUUCUCGUCAGGCUAAAAGGUCCAAAUUCAGUUAAAUCUAAUCAUAAACAUCAAAUUGACCUAAAGUCGGCCCCACAAAAUAUAAUGCUGCAGUGUCCACUAAUUCAUAUGGGUUAUAAGUCAUGUCUGCAUUGAUAUUAUUAGAAACGACCCAAAAUCUUACCCAGUAAAACAAGCUAUGCAUAAAUAUCCAAACUCUAUACGUAGAAUAGUCAACAUGCAUGGGAAUUCAUGUUAAGAAUAUGCCUGGGUAUGACAGGCCCUUUUGACAAUAUUCUCUUCAUAGAAUUAAGUUUUUGCUUGUCUCUUGGGCUGGUACUAUAAACAAGAAGAGGGGAAAAAAAAGGAAUUGUCGCUCUUUUUAAUUUCUUCAUGAUUCAAUUUUUCUUGGGUACUUUUCGGUGGUCCUUGAUUGUGGGAUCACCCUAAGUCUAGGCUCUUCUUUUUUCUUUCACUUUUUUAAAUUGGCAUGGCAUCAUAAUUCCUUAAUUUUGGAAUGCUUAAUAUUUUAUGAUGGUGCUGAUCCAACUAUCUAUUGGAUUUUUGCUUUUUCUUCAAUGGAGCAAGUGGAACUGUCACCUCUAUAUCACGUAAAAAGAAAAGAAUAGACAAGACAAGAUACGAGGGGGGAGAAACAGAAAAAGAGCUUUCCAGCAUUUACCUGGCUAAUGAAGGGCCAAAAAGAAAAUUUUACCUCGAGCCAAGCUUCCACGUGGUAACACUUAAAUGGUUACUUGAGUCGAGCUUGGAGAAAGUUUCUUAAACUUUAGAUGCGGAGCAAUUAUACCAUGCACCAGGAGCACCACAUCAUCAGAACCCAAAGAGAAUGAAAAAUCUGAUUGGUGUGGUGCACCACGAAGAUGCUGCAAGUCUAGGUCAAGCCUUGACCGGUAGAAACAGGCCCUUUCUUCUUUUUUUUUCUGAGUGGUGACGUAGUUCUAGCUAGAGUCCAACGGGCACCUUCCAUUUUCCUUACUUGUAUCACGACCAAAGUGGUACAUCAAACCAGAUGAAUGGCUUAUCUAAUCUAAUUCAUGACAUGCAUGCAUGUAUUUAUGCAAGUCAUGCCAAUCCUCAGUGCCUACCGGUAACUCUUUCAGAUUCUACGUACUCUAUAUCAUGAGAAUCAUGGUGGAAGUAAACACCAGAGCUAAGACAGAGGGAGGGGGGAGAGAGACCUCUCGAACCACAACGCGAAUGGGGCGAUGAAGGCCGCUGCGAUGGCAUUGCGAUACACCACGAGCACGUAAUGGCUCAUGCCUUGCUUGAGCGUUGCGACCGAGAUCACGUACAUCCCGGCAUACCCAAACUGCAAGAAGACCAUAGCCAAGUAUGGCUUCACCCUGCUCCAAACCCCACCAAACGACAUCCUAUAUAUCUAUCUCCUCAACACCCUUCUCUCCUAACUCCAAUCUCUUAUGGGACUCAAAGCUAAAUGCAGCCUUAUAUAUAUAUACAGCUGAAAAUCAGAUCGCCGCCCUAUGGACCACAGUAGGAACAAUAGUUUUCAAGGGGUGGGGGGGUCUCUCCUAGAUUCCAUUAUUAUCCAUGGACAACAGGAAAGGAGCCCAUUUUCCAAGGACUCUCAGAGGUGAGGUCUGUAAGGUCCACAAUCUUCUCAAGUGAUGUGGUCAAAAGAAAGCUAGCUUUAAGAGGAUGUGGAGAGCUUUCUAUCCAUUCUUUUGGAGUCUUAAUAAAUGAAAAGUAUUGGUGAGUGACAGAUUAAAGGACUGUCUAAUGGAAACAAGGAUUAGUGCAUGCUGAUGAAGGCAGUGCAACUCGAUGCACUCAUCUUAGGAUUUUGAGGUUUUCCUCUUUUUUUUUCCCGGUGCAUGAUCCAUUCCAAUGCAUGCACUUGAUAUAUAGUUGCUUUACCUCAAUCAUGUAGCAAAUAGGAAUCUCUGGAGUUUGACGUAAAUCAUGUGCUGGCCCAAUGACAGAAGUGCAAGGUUCUGCUACGUAGCAUUCGAUUGUAACCUAUGCCUUUAGUUAUAGAGGCCGAUUAAAGCAAAGAGAAGGAAACGGGGCUGCUUAAACCUCCUCAGCUUUUGGUAAAUUGACGUGCGACAAAAUUUUUUGUUUUUGCGACUCAGAUGCUUUUAAAUAUUCAAACAAGUGUACAUCUACGUGAAUCCAAAAAACUUAAAAAAUUGAACAAAAAUAUCUACCGAAGAAAUUCAUAAAAUAGAUUCGAUUGGCUGCACUAUUAGCUUCCACUUAGAUUAUAAAGGAGACUUAAAAGCUAGGACACGUACUAAUUAAGAGUUUUAGCAGACUUUCCGUUCUCUCUGCAGUAGUCUUUGUUUAACCUUUUGAAAAGAAAAGGAAGAAAGAGAAGAGUCUGGCCGAAACACGCCAUGGACUAGUUUGGUCAUUAGCUCCUGCAGCAUCCGGAAACCCCCAUGACAUGGUGACGACAUGGUGUUAAUCUUGUCCCAUCACCUUUUUAUAUGCAAACAUUUUGGGUGCACGCAUACCUUACCAAUUACUUUCCAUAUAAUCAUUAUGCCUGAGAUUAUGCACAUAUACGGAAAAAAAAAAUCAGACAAGAUUGAGCCGCCACAUCUUUACGGAAUAAAUUCUAAAAUGUAGAGGGAUUUCAAACUGAAUCAGAACAUGAACCAACAUAGUCCCGACAAGCCUCUCAAGGUGAUAGGACUACUUUGACCAAGUAACUUUUGAGUUGGAUAAAAGUAGAAACAAAUAAAUGAAGAUCCUUGUGAAGCAAAUUCUAAACUUAGUUUGGUCUUCUUCUUAAUCAAGGGGACUAGUCUAGUUGGUAAAAUUAUUGGGUUCUUGUUUGCGAUGAUUCUGAGUGGCUGGAUAGCAAUAACCCCUUCCAUAUCUCAUAAAAAAUAGAAAAGAAAAGAUGAGUCUUGGGCAAUAAAGGGCCUGUUUGAAUGGCACUAAGUGAGCAUUCAACUUUUCUAGAGCAACUAAGCUUUUGAGAAUAAUCGUAUUAUAUUAGCAAUAUGUACAGUCUCUAUCAUAUGGACCCAUCUUUAAUAUUUUUUUGGAUGAUUGCAUCAUUAAACAAGAACCCUUCCAUGGAUCUAUGAAUGCUUAAAUGCAUCUCAUGCGAUCUCUAUCGUAAGAGACUCAUCUUUAUUUUUUUGGGAUAAGUAAAUCAUUAAACAAGUUCCUUGCAUGGAUCUGCAGAUACUUAAAAUGCAACUCAUGCCGAUAUAAUAUCCUAUUUGAUUAGCAUUAAUCAUGGAAUACAUGCACAUGCAACAUCUCCAUAUAUUGUGUAGCCAUACACGAGCCCCUGCAGGCAGGGAAAGAAGUCCAAAGUAACCCAAGCUACCACCUAAGACCACCUAGCAAAAUGGUGCAUGGAUGCCACUUAAAUUAACAUACGAGUCAUGGCAAUUGCACUCACUUAAAAAAAAAGAGAAGAAAUCAGUAAUUCUACAGCAGGCAGCUCAAAAAUGGUAAUUGCUCUCACCUUCAGUAACCACAUAUGCAUUAAAUAAAAAGACUUUCAUUGAGGAUGCAUUUGGACCCUAAACCAAAAACUUACAUUGCAGAAUGGACAUUAUAUUUCUAUCAUAUAGAUACCUGUUUCCCAUAUAAAAUGUGCGAUAAAAUGAGGAAGAUAGUGGGCACAAUUGCAACUCCUUUCAAUCAGCAAAUAAAUCCAAGGAAUUGGUCGACAAAAGACCACAUCAUUUGUAUAACAAAUAUCCCGUCAGUGCCGAUGAGAAUCUAGGGCUUCUCUGUUGAACUGCAUUCGACAUCUAAUUUUAAAAAGGGAAGGUUGCAUUUAAAAACUAAAGAGGUAACUGAGCAUUCUUAUGCUCUUCAGAGAAUGAAUGCGUAUGAAUGUGAACAAUGAGAGAGACGCAUUUGUAUCUUUGAAACCCAUUUUAAGGGGCAUUGGGCGAGAAAUCGUCCAUAGAUAAUCGAACUAUCAUACGCCUUGGAAAUGAUAUGAGGUGUUCGGAAAUGGUUGAAGUAGUUGAAUAGGAGGAUCACUAUGACUAUAGCCCAUGGUAGAUUUACCAAAGAAGAAAAUGAUUUAUUUGAUAUCCAUCA
rnacentral:lncRNA from 1 species